GUUCGGGUUCACGCUGGACCGGUCGUACCUCCACACGAUAUUCAUGCUCGAGUGGACGCUCUUCCUGUGGCUGCUGGGGAAAACGGUCGGUUUCUCGUUAACACCAAGGAAUGUACGCACCAAGGUUCCAUGUUUUUUUGCUGUUGUGCCCCGUUUGAUCCUUGUGAAAAGAGAAGGAAUUGGGUUUUUUGUGUGUGCGCGGGUGUGCACGUGAGUGGUGUGCACUUGUAUGAUAGCAGCGAUUUUGUGUGAUGGUCGUGUAAAUUAUUAUGGGUUGAUUGCUCGUGGAUGUAAGGUGCAUGUACAGGUUUAGAUGAGUGCUUUAGAGCCUCAUGUGUGUGUGCGUGCGUGCGUGACGCUUGGCAUUGCAGGUUUAUAAUCUCGGGUUGUAAAAAAAAAAACUAUUUCGUUUAUCUUGGUUCUGCCGGCUAUUCUCCUGAAGAAAAUGUUUUCUGCUCCGUAUUUCGGUAUGAAUUCUAAUGGACAUAAGAUGGUAUUUCAUAUUCAGUACAUGUAUAAUAGUCGAAGCAUUUCAAUGCAAGUGAGGGUGUACAUCUAAUAAUAGUUUCUUUUUUGUGCGUUGGUGUUUCCUGUGUACAUCCUAACUAUAUAAAGGUUAGAUUUGUGCUCGUGCUUAUUGUGUUUGUAUCCACUUGAUGCUUCAUUUUUAAGUCAAUAAAAUUCAUCUUUCUAUUAAAAAAAAAAUCAAAACUCACUCAAAGUGAUGCUCUGGGUUGGCCCACUUUCCAAUAUCUGCAUAUGGUUCUUUCUAUAUAAUGUGUCCUCGUGGCGAUUGAUGGGCUCCUAUGCGGCGCUUUAGGUGCCGAAAAGGAUAGCUGAUGCUCGUUAUAGCUUUGCUCACAGGCCGCAGCUGAAUAAGACCACCUCCCUCUCGCGCUUGCUUGCUUUUGUCAAGUUUGCUGGUUUUUCUUUCAUUAUUACCUACAGUAUGACCUCCCCCCUAAAAGAAACUUACGGUAUUAUCUAGUGUACUACUUCCUCUGUCCCAAUUGCGACAAGUAAGUCGGGAUGGAGGCAGUACUUGCCUCAAAAAGAAAAGACAAAACUACAGUCCUACAUGGCCAGCUGUUUUUAUCUACUAUACCACAUGCCAGCAGUUUCCAAAAUCUAUGAUUUUUUUAAAAUUUUAUGAAUAAAAAUUCACGAAUUCGAGAAAAAGUUUGUGGUUUAAAAAACAUUAAAAAAAUUAUGACUUUGAAAAAUCAUGAAAUUUGGAAUAUAUAAUCAUGAAUUUCAAAAAAUUCAUGAUAUUUAGAAAAGUUCGUAAAUACUGGAAAAAUUCAAAGAUUUUGAAACAACAUAAGCUGAUUCAAAAAAAUUCUCAAAUUUAAUAAAGUGCUAGAUUUGAAAAUAGUUCAUGAAUUUGGAAAAAGAAGUUCAUGAAUUUGAAAAAAACUGUGAAUUCAAAAAAACAUGAAUCUGAAAAAAGUUCACCAAUUUUUAAAAAGUGUGUGGGUUCAAAAAAGGACGAUAUUUGUAAAAAAAAGAUCACGAAUUUUACAAAAGUUCAAAAAAAUUUGGAAAAGUUCAUGAAAGAUGGAAAUUUUUCUUAUUUUCUAGAUAAAAUCACAAAUUUGAAAAAACUUCAUGGGUUUUGAAUUUUUUAUAAAAACCGAAAUGAAUUUUUGAAUUUGAAAAACAUUCAUGCAUUUGAAAAAAGUUUAGGAAUUUGAAAAAAGUUCACGAAUUGAAGAAAUAGUUUACGAUUUUAAAAAAGAGUUCACAAAUUUUGAAAAAGGAAAAGAAAGAGAAAAAGAAAAGGGAAAAAACUAACAAAAACUGGCCGAAACAAAACCGAAAAAACAUGUGUCUUCUAGGCGCACAACAUGAAACAAAAUAAGUAUUAGUAUGCACAGUAGGUGAGUUGUCCAUGUUGGUUACUGUGUUUGGAAGGAAACAUUGAGGUUCCUACUUUGAAUCUCACUACCUACAACAUUUUUGAAGGUUCAAUAAAAUGGGCCAAGCCCAGGACGCAAGGGGGCGUGCGCUGGUUUGUUGACUUGCCUUUUGGCGUCGGGGUCUCAUUUACCCAAGAAAGAAACAAAGAAAAAAGAUGAAGAAAAAAACAAUGGGAAAAAUAAAAUAAAAGGAAGCCCGUGAAAACCGAGAAAAGAAAGAGAGAAAACCUGAAGAAAUUGUAGAGAAAGAAAGAAAGAAAAACAGUUAAACCCGAAAAAAGAAGAUAGAAAGCGGUGAAAAAGUAAAGAAAACAAAAAAAAAUACAACCGUAGAAAACCUAACCAAAAACUAGUACAACGGUCGUCCCAAGUGAGCGAGGAAAUGAAAUGAGCAAACCACUAAAUGGGCCGGCCCAGAAACAAAGCGCGAGGGAGUUUCUUCAAGCGAGCAGAGUAUAUAUCUCGCUAUAAGCGAGAUAUAGCUCUUGCAGCGAUUAAUGCCCUUUUUCCUUUGCUACUGUGACCCUAGUGAAUUAUUAUUUUUGUUUAGAAAUCAUCCAUGCAAUGUCCCAAAUAUUGAUCCAUAUGUUUACAUUUAAUUCUAUUGUUGCUCUCUUCAAAGUUACUUGUACUUGGCAGUUGUUGGGUAUUUUGUUACUAUGAUACUGCUUUGCCACAUACACCACUUCAUUCACGGUAUUGUCAUUGCUAGUAAUAAUUCUUUCAAACAAGCAUUUGUUUCAUAUGUGUUUGAAUUGACAACAUAACUGCUAAAUGCUAAAAAAUUAAAUGCUCUUUGGCUCUUUUGUGUCGAAUCAAUACAUUUGUGUUGUGAUCCCUACGUUUGUGGAUCAUCAUCUAUACAUUAUUGCAUCAAUAACAAGUGAACCACUCAUGUUUUGUUGGAAUCCUAAAAUGCAUAGUUUUGUAUUUAUUGACAAAAUGAUUGUGAAACUACUUAAAAUGGGCUAUUUCUUUAUAUUUUUACCAACCACAGUUUUAUAAGAAAUACUCGCACUUAUAGGAUGGUGAGCAUUUCCAAAAUCUGAAGUUUCCCUAGCAUCUUGAGCAAUAGGUAACAAGGCAAAAUGUGUUGUAACCCAUCCAAUGUAAACUGAAUUGGAUGACACACUUCUGGGACCAAAAUUCCUUUAUGUGUGCCACAUCGAAACAUCACAAGUCAAAUCAAUAUAGUGCAUUACUCCAAGUCAAAAUAAAAAUAGUGCACUACUCACUAGGUUCUCCGAUUAAAGCUCCAUGCUACAUCAAGGAAGCGAAAAGUGUGGAACCUAAUUACUUAAAGUGUGGAGGUCAAACAAGAUGCCUAAAUUGCUUGUCCCCUCUUAGUUCCUUUUUUGCGCGAAAUCUUUCGAUCUAUUCAUCAACUGACAAGGUAGUAUAAAGAACACCAGAAGUAAAAAAUACAUCCAUGUCCGUAGACCACCUAGCGACGACUACAAUCAUUGGAGUGAGCCGAAGGCGCGCCACCAUCUUCACCCCUCCCUAAAUGGAACCGGGCAAGCUUUGUUGUAGUAGAUAGUCGGGAAGUCAUCGUGCUAAGGCCUCAUAGGGCCAACACACCAGAAUAGCAACCACCGCCUAUGAAGAGAAGCGUAGAUCAAAAGGAUCUAACUUGUAGACACAUGGACAUAGAUGAACGGAGACAUGAUCCAGCUGGAUCCAUCGGAGAUAAACGCCAACUGAAUCCCACGAGAUCCGCCAGAAAUAAACCUCCACAAGCCCUCCAGCGAUGCUAGAAACACCACCAGGACGGGGACUAGGCGGGGAGAACCUUAUUCCAUCUUCAGAGAGUCGUCACCGCCUUGCCACUUGUUCACACACGAACACGUCACAUUGUACCCUCGACGCCAGGGGUGAUGCAUCGCAGCUCACGUCGAAGGAGACCCGACCGACAGCGCGAUACGCAGGACAGUCGACGGGUGCUUUUGUAGGCCCGAAGCCCCGCUUGCCCGGGAGGGACCCCGUCAGGGCUCGCGGCGGCUAUGGGCUGCUCCAGGUCGAGUCGCUCGCCCCUAGAGCCUCGUGGAUCCGCAGCCCUCCAACAUGAAGAACUAGCGAAGAACGAGAAGAAAGAUACAAGGAGAGAUAAAAAGUAGAUGAACACGAAAAAGUAAUAGAUUGAUUUGUUCGAUUGGUGUUGUUUCAAUUGGCCGUUACCCCUAACAUAUAUAAGAGGCGGUUGGACUUCCCGUACAAGCAAAUGAUUCAUCUAAGCUUUCCUUACAAGAAAAUUAUAUCAAUUCAUGUCCUACAUCUCUAUUUCCAGUCCAACUCGGAUUCAGCCCGAAUCUGUCCCAUACUUCUGUCUUGCUUCUUGCGCGGGCCAUAGAAAUCGCAUACUAACUCGGAUGGAGUUGAGUUCAGCAUCAAACUUGUCUGCCUCGAUGAUUUGCAUAAGACCGCACGGGCCACUUCUCCUUUUAAGGCUAUCUUUAUGACUUUCAGGGCCUAUCUUUAAAUGUGGGUUGGAUUCAAUUAUGCAGUUUUCUGAACUGUCCGAGUCUUGUAACAACUCUGUAGGCCGUGUACUAUCUCCGAUGAUGAUGACUCCAAAAGAAAAGUUGACCGUUUCAACGAUGUGAACAACUUCUGUGUAGAACACUUUUCCAUACAAGGUCGUCUGAAUAACCUUUUGAGCCCAUCUCCAACUUCUGGUCGGAUUGACUUUGACAGUCUCCACCCCGGCAAGCUUUCCACCCCGGCAAGCUUUCCACACCGGUAAGGUUUCUACCCCGGCAAGCUUCACACCGGCAAGCUUCCACACCGACAAGAUUUCAUGCCGGCAAGGUCUUCAUCCCGGCAAGCCUCAUUCAGCCGGCAAAGGAUGAAUAACUCACGCGACCCAUCAGACACCACCUAGGUGGGUGUCUGGUCCCUCACGUCACUCAGGACCGGUCCGCGAAGUGUUGCCUCUAACUUUUGCAUACGAACUCAGAUUGGGACACUUUUUAUAUCAAAAUCAAUCAGUUCGACGAGACAAAGACAAUUCAUGUAGAUCAUGUUUUCAUAUGAGGUCAUCUUGGGGGCUUAAUCGGCCAAACUGUACUCUAUAUAUAAGAUCUUGGUACUUUGAGCAUAGUUUCGGCCUUUAGGAUGAAAUCGGACGGCGACGGGCCAAACUUCAAAGAUGCACUUCUCCAUUUGAGGCCAUCUUAUUGACUGUGCCAAAAUUGGGUGUCAACACCACUAUGAGUAGGACACAAUCCCUAACAAAAAUAAAAAACAUGAAAAACUUAAGCCCUCCCACCGGCAAGGGCCAGGAUCCACUGCGCCUCCAUGACCCUAAGACCACAGGAGACGAGAUAGCCGACGGCAGCACCAGUGAAAGGAUCGAUAUAGUUGACUAGAGGGGGGUGAAUAAGCAACUAACAAUUUUUAGCUUUUCUUUACCAAUUUAAACUUUGCAUCAAAGUGGGUUGUCUAGAUAUGCAACUAGGUGAGCAACCUAUAUGAUGUAACAACAACAAGCACACAAGCAAGCAAGGGAUGCAACACAAUAUAAGCUUGCACAAGUAAAGGUACGAGAUAACCAAGAGUGGAGCCGGUGAAGACGAGGAUGUGUUACUGAAGUUCCUUCCCUUUGAGAGGAAGUACGUCUCCGUUGGAGCGGUGUGGAGGCACAAUGCUCCCCAAGAAGCCACUAGGGCCACCUUAUUCUCCUCACGCCCUCACACAAUGCGAGAUGUCGUGAUUCCACUAUUGGUGCCCUUGGAGGCGGCGACCGGACCUUUACAAACAAGGUUGGGGCAAUCUCCACAACUUAAUUGGAGGCUCCCAACGACACCACCGAAGCUUCACCACAAUGGAAAUUGGCUCCACGGUGACAUCAACCUUCUAGGGUGCUCAAACACCCAAGAGUAAUAAGACCCGCAAGGGAUUAGUGGGGGAAUCAAAUUUCUCUUGGUGGAAAUGUAGAUCGGGGCCUUCUCAACCAAUCCCUAGAAAAUCAACAAGGUUGAUUGGCUAGGGAGAGAGAUUAGGUGAAAAUGGACCUUAGAGCAACAAUGGAGCUUAGGGAUGGAAGAGGUAGUCAACUCGGAGAAGAAGACUCCCCUUAUAUAGUAAUAGGACAAAUCCAACCAUUAUCCACUUACCCAGCUUGCGACGUGCGAUACUACCACACCAGCCAUGCGGUACUACCGCAAGGGCCUGCGGUACUACCGCGGGGCACUGCGGUACUGCCGCAGGCGCGGCAGGAGCCAGACCGGCCCUGAUGCGUUGAAGCAAAGAGCGGUAUAACCGCCGGAGCGGUACUACCGCUCCCCCUUGCGGUACUACCACAAGCCAGGGUUUGUCUAGGCUGGGAAGGCAUGGACAUAUAAAAAUACAUCCAUGGCUACUUCCCUUGAGUUUCGAUUUGUGUAAAAACCCGACACAGUACUGUUGUGAACAUGGAGCGGUACUACCGCGUAGGGCGCGGAUGUAAAAAGUUACAUCCGCCCCUACUUCUGCUCGUGCUGUUGUGCCUAGCUCGAGGCCACGGUACUACUGCGCCCUGGGAGCGGUACUACCGCAAUGGACUGUAGUACUACCGCGACCGUGGCCGGUACUAUCGUAAGCCUCUGCGGUAUUACCGCUCCCAUGAGCAGUACUACCGCAUGCCCAACACAACCAACACUAGGAGUCCUUCAGUUUGCAGAGACACGGAUAAUUGGAGGAUGCUCCAAAGAGCCAACGGAAAGGUGGUGCAAAAGGAACAGACGUGUAGAUGAUGAUUCCAUCCAAACCUUUCCAAAGCGGAUCCCCUCUUAAUAGUACGACUUUCCUAGGACUCAAAUCCACUGAAAAGAAACACAGGGAAAACUCCGUCUUCACUAGACUCCGAGAGGCAACGAAUUGUCUUGUGCGUGAACAUGAGAUAUCUGAAAUGCUCAAUGCACACGAUUAGUCCACAAAAGCAUUGCCAUCAAUCGCCAAAACCACUAAGGGAUAAAUAUGCCCUUACAAUCUCCCCCUUUUUGGUGGAUUGAUGACAAUACGGGAUUUGCACAAAGGGAAAUAAAAUGAAGCAUAGGCAAACCCAACAUCUAUAAAAUAUAGACGGGCUCCCCCUAGAUGUGUGCUCUCUAGAGAAGUGCUUUGGACUGCACGACACACAUACUAGGAUCAACACUCCCCCUAUAUUUUAUAGACGAGGCAUAUAUUGAAACAAAAUAACUAACACUAAGCAAGGAUGCAAGAUAAUAAAUAUGAGCAUAAAGUAACGAGAGAACAAUCUACUAAGCAAACUAGAUAACAUGAUAAGACAAUGAGAUACGCUGAGGACAUAUGUCUUACACCAUAUGAUAGGCUCCUGGAUCCAGACGAAAACAAACACAAACCAACAAACGUGUUUCAACAGGACGAAAGCAAAGAGCGAGACACAACAACACAAAACUCGCAAAUCCUACACUCUCUCCCCCUUUGGCAUCGAGACACCAAAAAGGCAGAGAUGACACCUACGACACAGGUGGUAGCUCAAGCUGAAGCGAUCACUCGUCACGCUCCUCGUCGGUCUCGGCAGGAGGGAUGGUCUCCUCCUCAGAUUCAGUCUACUGGUAGCCCUGCUUCGCCAUCCAUUCAGCCUCUGGGGUGAUGUGCUUCUCGGACCCGCUUGAUACCUGCUCACCGAACGUCCUCAAGAUCCUCUUGUCGCGCCGGCGACUCUCCUUCUGAGCAACAUGAGACUGGUACUGGCCCUUGGCCUGUGAUAACCCACAAGUAUAGGGGAUCACAACAGUUUUUGAGGGUAGAGUAUUCAACCCAAAUUUAUUGAUUCGACACAAGGGGAGCCAAAGAAUAUUCUCAAGUAUUAACAGUUGAGUUGUCAAUUCAACCGCACCUGAAAGACUUAAUAUCUGCAGCAAAGUAUUUAGUAGCAAAGUAAUAUGAUAGUAGCGGUAACGGUAGCAAAAGUAACAGUAUUGGUUGUGUAGUGAUUGUAACAGUAGCAACGAAAAAGUAAAAAAGAAAAAACAAUAUGUGAAAAGCUUGUAGGCAAUGGAUCAGUGAUGGAUAAUUAUGUCGGAUGCGAUUCCUCAUGCAACAGUUAUAACAUAGGGUGACACAGAACUAGCUCCAGUUCAUCAAUGUAAUGUAGGCAUGUAUUCCGAAUAUAGUCAUACGUGCUUAUGGAAAAGAACUUGCAUGACAUCUUUUUUCCUACCCUCCUGUGGCAGCGGGGUCCUAUUGGAAACUAAGGGAUAUUAAGGCCUCCUUUUAAUAGAGUACCAGACCAAAGCAUUAACACUUAGUGAAUACAUGAACUCCUCAAACUACGGUCAUCACCGGUAAGUAUCCCGAUUAUUGUCACUUCGGGGUUAACGGAUCAUAACACAUAAUAGGUGACUAUAGACUGGCAAGAUAGGAUCAAGAACUCACAUAUAUUCAUGAAAACAUAAUAGGUUUAGAUCUAAAAUCAUGGCACUCGGGCCCUAGUGACAAGCAUUAAGCAUAGCAAAGUCAUAGCAACAUCAAUAUCAGAACAUAAUGGAUACUAGGAAUCAAACCCUAACAAAACUAACUCGAUUACAUGAUAAAUCUCACCCAACCCAUCACCGUCCAGCAAGCCUACGAUGGAAUUACUCACGCACGACGGUGAGCAUCAUGAAAUUGGUGAUGGGGGAAGGUUUAUGAUGAUGAUGGCGACAGAUUCCCCUCUCCGGAGCCCCGAACGGACUCCAGAUCAGCCCUCCCAAGAGAGAUUAGGGCUUCGCGGUAGCUCUAUAUCGUAAAACGUGAUGAAUCGUUCUCUCUGAUUUUUUUCUCCCCAAAGGUGAAUAUAUAGAGUUGGAGUUGAGGUCGGUGGAGCACCAGGGGGCCCACGAGGCAGGGGGCGCGCCCCCACCCUUGUGGACAGGGUGUGGGCCCCCUAGCCUUGAUUCUUUCGCCAGUAUUUUUUAUAUAUUCCAAAAAUAUUCUCCGUUGAUUUUCAGGUCACUCCGAGGACUUCUAUUUCUGCACAAAAAUAACACCAUGGCAAUUCUGCUGAAAACAGCGUCAGUCUAGGUUAAUUCCAUUCAAAUCAUGCAAGUUAGAGUCCAAAACAAGGGCAAAAGUGUUUGGAAAAGUAGAUACAUUGGAGACGUAUCAGCCUGCAUGCAGAACAGAGCCUUCAUCUUGUUCUUCAGCCUCUUAGCCUAAGAGGGCUCAGAAGAUGAAGGCGAGUAUCCAUCAGAGAUGUCCUCAUCUGCUUCCUCCUCCUCAAUCUCAUCCUCAUCCACAUCCAUCUUAGCAGCCUCCGCCUCAGCACGGGUAGUGGUGUUAGCCCACUUGUUCUUGAUGUGCAGCUUGAUAGGCUCGUGGCGGGUCCAGUUUGGAGCAGAAAAGUCUUCCUCCGGAAACAUCUUGUCCCAAGUCUUCGAGAUUAGAAGGUGCAGGUAUGGACCAUAGAUGGGAACUUUGUGAUUGUAGACCGCAAACCUGAGCUCACUCCACAUGAUAUGAGAGAUGUCCAGAGGCUGGGUGGCAUGACGACGCGCCUCCUCGCACAGAAGCAACAUAUCCAUGAGAUAAGCAUGCACCUUAUCUUUGUCACCGAUGCGAGGAAAGAGAGUGUUGUAGAAGAUUCGGUGCAUGACAUCUAGGAAGGGGUUGAGCACCCAAGUCUGAGUGCCAUUGGGAAGCUUGUUCUCCACAAGAAACGGUAGAAGCUUGUCCUUGUUGGCAGACUCGGCGUUGCCGUGAGGGCGGGCGCCAAUGGGCACAUCGGGCCCAUCAUCAAGGACAUGCAGGAGCGUCAUGAAUUCCUUCCAGGUAGCAGACAGCUUCUUCCCAUUGGUCAUCGAAGUCAUAGUCCACUCCCCAUCCAUGUGAAAGUGGACGGAGGCAAAGAACUGCGCCACUAGCUCCGGGUCAAAGUCCAUAUGGAACGCGAUGAAGUCUUCAAUGCCAAACUGCUCGACCAAGUCUAGUGUCUCACCAAAGUAGUUCCGGUCCUUCCUCAGAUGAUUCAUAUCAAUCCACUGCAUUGGAACAUAAAGGUUGUGCUUGGUCUUGAUCACAUCAAUGUAUAUGAGAUUCCGUGCUUGGUCCAGAAAAACUCACACCCUCUGACAUUCUCAUGAGGAUUCACAUAGGGAUCGAUCCUCCUUCGAAUGAUGAACUCUGAUUGAGGCAGCUCGUCCAUGCCCUGAACUGGCUCCUUGUUCCGGUUGGCAGUCUUCUUGACAUUGCGUUGUGGGGCAUUGGAGCCCUCCGGAGCUUCUUGAUUGCGAAGACGCUUGGAGCUUGUGUCGUGGCUUGGGUUCGAGCGACGGACAUUGGAGGCACCACCUAUGACACACAACACCAGAACACACGAGAGAAAUGAGAAGGAUCAAUGCAAAGACCACGGCAAAAACAAAUGAAACACGUAGAAAAAAGAUUGGGUAGUUGCCACAAGGAAGGUUCGAAGUCAGCGGUAGUAUCGCACCUCUAAGUGGAACUAAAAUUUUACUGCCGCUCUAGCCGCGGUAGUACCGCGCCGGGAUGGCACGGUAGUACCGCGCCUAGGGCGGAAGUAAAAUUUUACUUCCGCGCUGCUCCCGGUAGUACCUCCCCAGAGGAGCGGUAGUACCGUACGAUGUAGAAGCGGCCUGAGCGGUAGUACCAUACAGGAGGUGCGGUAGUACCGCUCGGGAUCAGAUCCGUGAAGAACAGAUCUAGGCACAUCCGCAACAUUUGAGUGGUACUACGGUUGAUCAAAAAUACCAUGUGGCAACAUACCAAAUAGCAUUUCUACUACACUACAACUCUCCUACAUCCUACUCUUGCAAAGAUUUGGCCUAAAAUCUCAAGAACAACACCCAGAACCUAGAGGCAAAACAACGAAGCAAAGAGAGAGGGAUUUGGGGAGAAACCUUGUUCCAUGGCAAGAGGACGGGGUGGGGAUCGAUCCCACCGGUCAGAAUGCGAGGAGAGCGGCCGGAGACGGAGAUCCGGCGAGGUCCUCCAACACCAUUCUUGGCCAGGAGAGAGAGAGACGAAGUGGGGAGACGGAGUUGAAUGGGUAUGGGGAGUUGGAACUCCCCCUGCCCGCUCUUAACCCCCACCCGCUCGUGACGGCGUGGUAGUACCACGGGUAAUCGCGGUAGUACCGCCCGGGCGGAAGUACCGCACGCAGGGCGGUAGUACCACUCAUCCAGCGGCAGUAAAAAAUUACUGUCGUGCUGGUUGUGGUAGUACCGUGCUCAUCUCCUGCGGUAGUAUUGUGGCUAGCCACGGUAGUACCGUAGACCCAAGAAAGUGCAUGUUUCGACAAAGAGAAAAACAUGGCCUUUGCACAACAGCCUUCAAGCGACCGGACACGCAAACGCGCACACACACACGAGGCACCUUAGACACACACAAGGCAGAAAGAAGAAGGCAAAAGACAACAAGGACUAACCACGAAACACAACCUCUCCAAAGAGGGUGGCCGGAGCCACCUAUGUUUGAGUCAGUUUGUAUGGCACCGCGAAGAGUUAUCCUUGGGCCCAUGAAAAAAACUCAUCUUUGAAGCACAAGUACCAUAAAAAAUGGCUAAUGUGAAAGAAUUGAUCAAUUUAUGCAUAAUGGGGGGAGGGAGAGUUCAUUGAGAGAACAACACUCCCCCUAUGUCCAUGCCUACACCUAAACAAGAUAUCAAGAUGAGUAUGGUGUGGUGUGCAAGGGUUCAAGCCACAUUGCUCGAAUCAAUGAUAUUUAGCUCAUGCCUUAACUCACGAAAUCUUGCUUCAUCCAAGGGCUUCGUGAAGAUAUCUGCAAGGUUAUCAUGAGUGUUGACACAGUUGAGCUUGAUCUCCCCUCGCCUAAUAUGAACCCGGAUGAAGUGAUACUGAAUCUCAAUAUGCUUCAUCUUGAAGUGUUGCACCAGGUUGAGAGAAAUCUUGAUGGCACUUUCAUUGUCACACCAAAGAGGCACUUUGUCACAAAUGACACUGUAAUCCUUUAAAGUUUGCCUUAUCCAUAGAAGUUGUGCACAACAACUACUGGCGGCCACAUACUCCGCUUCGGUGGACGAGAGAGACACACAACUUUGCUUCUUAGACCAACUCACCAAAGAGCAACCAAGGAAUUGGCACCCCCCGGAAGUUGACUUCAUAUCCACUUUGUCUCCCGCCCAAUCAGAGUCCGAGUAGCUUAUAAGGUUGAAGUUUGCUCCUCUUGGGUACCAUAAGCCAAAGUUUGGGGUAUGAGCCAAAUAUCGAAAGAUUCGCUUGACCACCACAUAGUGGCUUUCCUUAGGUGCGGCUUGAAACCGUGCACAGAUUCCCACACUCAAGAUGAUAUCCGGUCUAGAUGCACAAAGGUAAAGGAAGGAGCCAAUCAUGGAGCGAUAUACCUUUUGAUCCACCGCUUUACCAUUGGGAUCUAUGUCAAGUUGGCAUUUGACGGACAUUGGAGUGGAAGCCGGCUUGAAAUCACUUAGCUUGAAUCUCUUGAGCAUGUCUUGAGUGUAUUUGGCUUGGUUGAUGAAGGUUCCUUCUCUUCCUUGCUUGAUUUCGAACCCGAGAAAGAACUUCAACUCUCCCAUCAUGGACAUCUUGAACUUUGAGGUCAUGAGAGUGGCAAACUCCUCAUUGAAAGCUUUGUUAGGAGAACCAAAGAUAAUAUCAUCAACAUAUAGUUGGCAUACAAACAACUCCCCUUUGACCUUCUUGGUAAAAAGAGUGGGCUCGAUUUUACCAAUUCCAAACCCACAAUCUUGCAACAACUCGGUAAGGUGCUCAUACCACGCACGUGGGGCUUGUUUAAGGUCAUAUAGCGCCUUAUCGAGUUGGUACCCAUGAUCGGGAAAAUAGGGAUCCUCGAACCCCAGUGGUUGUUUGACAUACACCAACUCAUUAAUAGGACCAUUAAGAAAAGCACUCUUCACAUCCAUUUGUUGCAACUUAAAGUUAUGAUGAGAAGUAUAAGCAAUCAAUAGACAAAUGGAUUCAAGGUGAGCAACGGGACCAAAGGUUUCACCGUAGUCAAUACCCUCGACUUGGGAGUAGCCUUAUUGAGGGAGUCCUGGAUUAGGGGGUCUCCGAACAGCCGGACUAUAUCCUUUGGCCGAACUGUUGGACUAUGAAGAUACGAGAUUGAAGACUUCGUCCCGUGUCCGAAUGGGACUCUACUUGGCGUGGAAGGCAAGCUAGGCAAUACGGAUAUGUAUAUAUCCUCCUUUGUAACCGACCUUGUGUAACCCUAGCCCCCUCCGGUGCCUAUAUAAACCGGAGGGUUUUAGUCCGUAGGACAAGAUACAACCAUACCAUAGGCUAGCUUUUAGGGUUUAGCCUCUCUCAUCUCAUGGUAGAUCGACUCUUUUAAUACUCAUAUAAUCAAGAACAAUCAAGCAGGACGUAGGGUAUUACCUCCAUCAAGAGGGCCCGAACCUGGGUAAACAUCGUGUCCCCUGCCUCCUGUUACCAUCCGCCUUAGACGCACAGUUCGGGACCCCUACCCGAGAUCUGCCGGUUUUGACACCGACAUUGGUGCUUUCAUUGAGAUUUCCACUAUGUCAUCACCAUAAGGCUUGAUGGCUCCUUCGAUCAUCGCUAGCGAUGCGGUCCAGGGUGAGGCUUUCCUCCCCGGACAGAUCUUCAUAUUCGACGGCUUUGCACUGCGGGCCAAUUCGCUUGGCCUUCUGGAGCAGAUUGAGAGCUACGCCCCUGGCCAUCAGGUCAGAUUCGGAAACUUGAACUACAUGGCCGACAUCCGCGGAGACUUGAUCUUCGACUGAUUCGGGCCCAUGUCGGACGCGCCGUGUAGUCGUGACGAGCAUGACGUAACUCUGCCGUCGGACAAUGUUCGGGAGAUCGCAUCCGCAACUACUCUGUCCAUCAAUCCGGAGCAAGUUGCGCCAUCUGAGAGCAGAGGGAUGGACCCCACCAUGGAGGCCGCACUCUCAGUGGCGUUAGAGCUGGAUACUGACUUGACUCCUUACGAGAGCCAUGUCGCUGAACCACUUGAUUCAUCUCCGGCCACGGACUCCGAGCCGCUCAUAUCCGUGCCCGUCAAAUCCGACUGGGCGCCAAUCAUGGAGUUCACCUCCGCGGAUAUCUUUCAGCACUCACCUUUAGGAGAUGUGCUAAAUUCAUUAAGGUCUCUCUCCCUGUCAGGAGAACCUUGGCCGAACUAUGUCCAGCUAGAAUGGGAUGCGGACGACGAAGAAAUUCACUGCCCACCCACCACCCACUUAGUAGCCACUGUCAACGACUUAAUUGACAUGCUCGACUUCAGCUCCGAAGACUUCGACGGUAUGGACGACGAAGCCGGAGACGAACAGGAUCCACCACCCUUGGGGCAAUGGACCGCCACCUCAUCAUAUGAUAUAUAUACAUGGUGGACACCCCCAAAGAAGCCAAUGGCGCCGAGAUAGCGGAGGAUGACCCCUCCAAGAAGCAACCCAAGCGCCGACGUCAGCGGCGCCUCUCUAAGUCCCGCCACAGCAAGAGCAGUGAUACCGGCAUAGGAGAUAAUAACACUCCGGAUAGCGCUGAAGACAACAACAAUCCCCUCCAGCACGGUGCAGAGCUAGAGGACGAACAAGCUAGCCACCGGAGGAGGACAAUUACAUGCCUCUCUCCGAAGACGAGGCGAGCCUCGGCGACGACGAGUUUAUCGUGCCUGAGGACCCCGUCGAGAAAGAGCGCUUCAAGCGCUGUCUUAUUGCCACGGAAAAUAACCUAAAGAAGAAACAACAAUAGCUUCAAGCUGAUCAAGACUUGCUAGCAGACAGGUGGACCGAAGUCCUUGCGGCCAAGGAGCAUGAACUCGAGCGCCCGUCCAAGAGUUACCCAAAAUGCAGGUUACUACCUCACCUCGAGGAGGAAGCAUUGAAACCUCAUUCACCAGUGUAUGAUGCGUCUGACCGGCCACUACGCGGCCGAGCCAGGGAGGCAUUUCAGCCUAAAGAUCAGACCGCACCCUGUUGCCACUUAGUCAAAAAUACCAAGGCCCGGGGCAACAUAGAGGACCUGCGAGACAUCUUGGACAGUAAGGCAAAAAUUGCAAGGUCAAUAUAUGGGAAACGGGCACGUGCGCCCACACGGGACGAUGAUCAUCGCGCCGGAUACACCAAGAGUAAAUCCAGCCGGGCCGAAUAUAGCAGACAAGACUCAUACGAACUAUGUCGGGAUAUAGCCCGGCACAGAGGUGCCGCACACCCCCUAUGCUUCACUGAUGAAGUUAUGAAUCAUGAAUUCCCGGAGGGUUUCAAACUCGUAAAUAUCGAAUCAUACGAUGGCACAACAGAUCCUGCUGUAUGGAUUGAAGAUUUCCUCCUUCACAUCCACAUGGCUCGCGGUGAUGAUCUACAUGCCAUCAAGUACCUCCCACUAAAACUCAAAGGACCAGCUCGACAUUGGCUGAAUAGCUUGCCAGCAGAUUCCGUUGGCAGUUGGGAGGAUCUGGAAGAUGCAUUUCUUGACAACUUCCAGGGCACUUAUGUGCGACCGCCGGAUGCUGAUGACUUGAGCCACACAACCAAGCAGCCAGGGGAAUCGGCCAGACCAUUCUAGACACGGUUCCUGACUAAGAAAAAUCAAAUUGUAGACUGUCCGGAUGCAGAGGCCCUAGCGGCAUUCAAGCAUAACAUCUGCGACGAGUGGCUCGCCCGCCACCUCGGCCAGGAGAAGCCGAAAUCUAUGGCAACCCUCACGACACUCAUGGCCCACUUUUGCGCGGGCGAGGAUAGCUGGCUGGCUCGUAGCAAUAACACAUCGAGGAAUCUGGAUACCUCGGAUACCAAAGAUGCUAACGGUAGGCAGCAUCGUAAUAGACCAAAGUGCCGCAAUAACGGCGAUAACACCGAAGAUACGGCAGUUAAUGCCGGAUUCAGAGGCUCUAGAUCCGGUCAGCGGAAAAAGCCAUUUAAAAGAAACACUUCGGCUCCGUCCAGUCUGGAUCGCUCGUGUCAAAUCCACGGCACCCCCGACAAGCCAGCCAAUCACACCAACAGAGAAUGUUGGGUGUUCAAGCAGGCCGACAAGUUAAAUGCCGAGAAUAAGGACAAGGGGCCACACAACGAUGAUGAGGAGGAGCCCCGGCCGCCGAACACAGGAGGAUAGAAGGGGUUUCCCCCACAAGUGAAGACUGUGAACAAGAUAUACGCAACCCACAUUCCCAAGAGGGAGCAGAAGCGUGCACUAAGGGACGUCUACGCGAUGGAGCCCGUCGCCCCAAAGUUCAACCCAUGGUCUGCCUGUCCGAUCACCUUCGAUCGCAGGGACCACCCCACUAGCAUCCGUCAUGGUGGAUCCGCCACACUGGUCCUAGACCCCAUCAUUGACGGAUUUCACCUCACUCGAGUCCUUAUGGAUGGCGGCAGCAGCCUGCACCUGCUUUAUCAGGAUACAGUGCAAAAAAUGGGUAUCGAUCCCUCGAGAAUUAAACCCAGAAAAACCACCUUUAAAGGUGUCAUCCCAGGUGUAGAGGCCCAUUGCACAGGCUCAAUCACACUGGAAGUGGUCUUCAGAUCACCGGAUAACUUCUGAAGCGAAGAGUUAAUCUUCGACAUCGUCCCGUUUCGCAGUGGCUACCAUGCACUGCUCGAACGGACAACAUUUGCAAAAUUCAAUUCAGUGCUGCAUUACGCAUACCUCAAGCUCAAGAUGCGAGGACCUCGCAGGGUUAUAACAGUAAAUGGAAACACAGAACGCUCGCUCUGUACGGAAGAGCACACUACGGCCCUUGCAGCAGAGGCACAAAGCAACCUGUUCAGGUAGACCACUCAUUCAGUGUCACAGCCCCCGAACACCUUCAAGCGAGUCAGAAACAAGCUGCAACAGGAUCGCCUGGCACGAUCAGAGCUCGCCUAGCAGUCCAGCCCCUGUCCCAGUCCCAGUGAAGCGACGAAAACCGUGCCACACGUACAUAACUACGCAUUGAAAAUACCAUGAACAUAGGCGGGGGCACAAUCAGGACACGCCCCACAUUGUGGCUUAACCACACUAGGGGCUGUACACCUGUGACAUUCCUUUUCUCUUUCAGGGCCUAACUCUUUGGAAGCCCUUUCCGGCAGUACGAUUGCCGAACACAUUCCGGAAGAAACAACCAAGGCGGCAAGAAGCUAGGAUGAACACGGGAACCGCCAGGUGGUCUCUAGUAAUACUUGAUAUACCCGUUUUUCACUAUUUAUGCAUAGCUUGCCCUGGGAUAAGACAUUUCGAAUUGUCCUACUUUAUGCUUAUUGCACUACUUGUACCAGUACGCUUCGACGUAUUAUUCAAAUAACAAUGCAUAUCAUUAAUCUGUCAUUGCAUUAUUUAAGUUUUUCUCUUUUCUCUUAUACGUCCAUUUACGACAAUCCGCACCCGCACGUUCAGGUACAGUCAGUACGCCAGGAGCUCUCGUUUACCCCACAAUACGACGCAGGAAAUACGAACACUUUCGACAGUGCGGCACCCCGAACUUAUAGCAUUAUAUGCAUCAGCUCCGAAUCAUGUCUUUGGUCAAAUGUUGGGUCGCCCGGCUCCCAUGCUUUGGUACCUUACGUUCCGCUAUAUCGGCUAAGGUAGCGGUGGGAGAACUACUGCGAUUGUGUCCUGGUUCUUCUGGACGAGAACCUCAGUAGAGAAAGCCAAAAACUGACUGUCAUGAUAAGGCGAGAGACUGGUCGCUGUUCGAGAGGUCUCAAGUCCUUAAAGACUUUUUCCGCUUCGGGCAAGGAGUCGGCCUUGUCCGGCUUAGGCGUGUAUAGCGCCCCAAAUUCGUCCCUACGAAUACCAGGGGCUUCGCCAAAAAUUUAAAAUUAUAGACUUCUAUGGCUAAGUGAGAGUGAUAAAGCAUUAUAGUCCGAUUGCCUGGUUCACUGCACUGAACACCUCCCUUAAAGGACCCAAAAUUGGGGUAAAGAUUGUUCAGAUUUACCCCGAACACCCCAGAACUAGUUACAUGGGGGUAGAAGCCGACGACUGGCCAACUCUCAGAUUUUAUAAAAAUGGCCGCACAGAAGGUAAUAUUUUAAAUUAAGAAAGCGUCGCAUGGUGCAAAAGAACUCGUUUCAUAUUACAGGAUCACAUGGGCAUGUUCAUUCAAAAAUUACAUCCUUGGCACCCUCAUCUGCCACUAAGCGGGAACCCUUCAGGACGCUCUCACAAUAAUUCUCAGGGCAGCGAUGCUCCUUGCCCUCCGGCGGCCCCUCCUUCACCAACUUCACGACGUCCAGCUUCGCCCGGGCAAUAGCCAUGCGUGCACCUUCGAUGCAGACAGACCAUUUGAUGACUUCAAGCCAUGGGCAGGCUUCCACAAGCCGCCUCACCAGACCGAAGUAGCUGCCGGACAGGGGCUUGCCAGGCCACAUCCGGACUAUAAGGCCCCCCAUGGCCUGUUCGGCCGCCUUGUGAAGUUCGACCAACUACUUCAGCUGGUCUCUCAAGGACAUGGGGUGUUCGGUCCUAGUAUACUGAGACCAGAACAACUUCUCCGCUGAGCUCCCUUCCUCAGCCCGGUAAAACUCCGCGGCAUCCAGUACACUGCGAGGAAGAUCUGGAAACGCUCCUGGAGAGCUCCGAACUCGGGUAAGAAAAAGGAAAGUCUCCUUCACAUGCUUGCUUUGCAUAUUGAAUGCCUUACCCGUUGCUAUCUUCUUCACCGUGUCAAUCUCCUGGAGGGCCUUGUGGGCUUCGGCCUUGGCGCUCCGGACGCUUUCAAGCGCCUGCGCGAGCUCGGACUCUCGCGUCUUGGAGUCCAGCUCCAAGGACUCAUGCUUUUUGGCGAGAGCCUCUAGCUCUUGAUGCACCUCGCCUACUCGGGCUUCUUGUUUCUCCUGUUCCAGGCGUUCUUUGGCCGCUUUGUCUUCGGCCUCAGACACCGCCUUCCUCAGGGUCUCCACCCCGGUCGUGGCCCCUGACAAAUUCAUGAUCGAUCCUAUUAGUUUACACCCGAACUUCUUUUUAACUAUAUAGACAGGGGUAUAUCUUACCUUUGCUCUCUUCGAGCUGCCCCUUGGUGAGGAUGAGCUCAUCCUCGGACCGCUUCAGGGCCUGCUUCAGCGCAGAAACCUCCACAGUACGUGCGGCAGCAGCCAGCAGUGAAGCCUGCACAUACACAUAGACAUACUCUAAUUAGACUCCUGAGUUAUCAUUUGAUCCUCUAUUCGGUUUUUCUUCACGAAUGCCGAACAGAGCAUCAGGGGCUACUAUCUAUGCGGUAAUAUUUUCUUAUAUUUUGAAUGCUUACCUCAAAGCCUGUUAGGAGGCUGGCGCAAGCUUCGGUCAGUCCGUUUUUGGCGGGCUGAACCUUCUCGACCACCGCACUCAUCAUAGUGCGGUGCUCUUCUGCGAUAGCGCUAUGAAGCGCUUCCAGCAAGGUGUCCGGUGCCUCUGGUUGGACAGAGGACACCAGCACGGAUGGUUGGCCCCCCUUAAUGGGGGACCGCCUGCCGGAGUCCGGAAUCAUCGAAGGUUCCGGCGCAGUGUCCGGCUGGGGCCCGAACUCGAAGCCCGUAGGAGCCUUGCUCCCUUGGUACCCAGGGCCCAGGAGGUCGCCGUGAGGCGCCCCCAGGAUCACCUCCCCUUGGCUCGGUGCCUUUUGAGACAACACCUCAGCGUUGUCCGUAGGGCGAGGGGUGGAAGCCGUCGGAGGAGAACCGCUGUUCAUAUCCGACGAGUCCAAAGAGUCGCUCGACGAGGGUACGUCGAGAUGAGCUCGGGAAGGACUGCAUGAUCAUGUUCGGCAUGAGGAAAGGCAGUACAAUAAAACAUACCAUGAAGCACUAUGGUGUCCGGACACUUACGGCUUCGCGAGGGGCUUGUCCCUGGGUAGCCACUCGUCGCCGCUGUCGUCGGCCGUCGUGGCACAGUCCGGAGGGAGGGUCUUUCCCUUCUUGGACCCUUCGGCCUCCCUGGAUGGGUCGACCUUCCUUUUCUUGUCUCCCCCGGCUGGGGGGGAGAGCUUUUCUCCUCCUCCUCGUUUCCGUGGGAGGAGUGCAUGUCAGAGUCAUCGGACGAUGAGCCCGAUGUAACCUUGCACCGGAGACCCUUUCGGGUCCCCGUGGCCUUCUUCUUGGCCUUCUUUUCCGGCACCUCGUAAGGUGCCGGAGUCAACAUCUUCGCUAGAAAAGCGUCUGCAGGAUCUUUGGGCAGGGGGGCUGGGCAAUCAAGCUGCUCCGCUGUCUCUCUCCAGUCCUGUUAAUAACAUGAAAGCUUAGAUCCAGCACAUAACUAAACCAGGGCGAAUAAAUACCCUGAGAGAUAUAAAAUCCUACCGGAUGGGCGCGGCGCUUUGCGCUGAGUCUGCGGUCCUCGGUAAGGGAGGGAGGCAUCUCGGCGCCCUUGAACAGCACCCUCCAGACGUCCUCGUGCGUCGUGUCGUAGAGCUCUCGUAGCGUCUGGUGCUUGGCCGAGUUGAACUCCCACAAAACAAAUGCCCGUCGUUGGCACGGAAGGAUCCGGUGGAAGAGCAUAACCUGGACCACCUUGACAAGCUUGAUUUUCUUGUUCGUCAUGUUCUGGAUGCAGGUCUGGAGUCCGGUCAGCUCUACCGCAGAACCCCAGGACAGACCCUUCUUUUUCCAGGAGGUGAGCCGCGUGGGGAUUCCGAAUUGAAAUUUGGGGGCCGCCACCCAGUUGGAGUCGCGCGGCUCGGUGAUGUAGAACCACCCCGAUUGCCACCCCUUUAUGGUAUCCACGUAGGUGCCCUCGAGCCAGGUGACAUUAGGCAUCUUGCCCACCAUGGCGCCUCCGCACUCUGCUUGCUGGCCACCCACCACCUUCAGUUUGACAUUGAAGGUUUUCAGCCAUAGGCCAAAGUGGGGCCUGAUGCGGAGGAAGGCCUCGCACAUGAUGAUAAACGCCGAGAUGUUGAGGAUGAAAUUGGGGGCCAGAUCAUGAAAAUCCAGCCCGUAGUAGAACAUGAGCCCACGGACAAACGGGUGGAGAGGAAAUCCCAGUCCGCGAACGAAAUGGGUAAGAAAAACUACCCUCUCAUGGGGUUCGGGCGUGGGGACGAUCUGCCCCGCAUUUGGCAGCCGGUGCGCGAUAUCCGCGGCCAAGUAUCCGGCUUCCCGUAACUUUUUGAUGUUCUCCUCCAUGACGGAGGAGACCAUCCACUUGCCUCCUGCUCCAGACAUGAUUGGAGUGGUUCGAGAAGAAGAACGCGAGCUUGGGCGCUAGAGCUCGAGUGUGCGGGAAUGGGUAAGAGAGAAGGAAGGAGGCGUGGGUGAAAAAGUAAAUCUUUGUCCCUUUAUAAGGGCAGAGGAGGCGAUGAUUCUCCCCACUUGGCUGGCAAAAACCGCUUAUUCCCCAGGCACCGUAAUUGAUGGCGCGGUUGGGUUACCCACGCCCGUAUUGAUGAGAAUCCCGUGAUAAGGGGAACAUGAUCUCUGCUUUGACAAGACGUAUCAAGAAAACUGCCUCGCGAUAUAUGUGGAGCUGGUUGAGAAAAGCGGUUUGAAUAAUAACCGGGGCCAUGGUGUGAUGUGAUGCUGUCAAAACGUGUCAGCAGAUUAGAUUUGUGGAAAUAUUAUUCUCUCUACGGUGGUAUGUGGAACUUAUUUUGCAGGGUCAGACACUAUCCUCAUAUUCAAACUCUUCCAUGGUGUAUUCGGAGGAGGACCCCGCCUUGCAAUGCCAAAGACAAUACUGCGCGCCGGACUCAUCGUCAUUGAAGCCUGGUUUAGGGGCUACUGAGGGAGUCCUGGAUUAGGGGGUCUCCGGACAGCCGGACUAUAUCCUUUGGCUGGACUGUUGGACUAUGAAGAUACGAGAUUGAAGACUUCGUCCCGUGUCCGGAUGGGACUCUACUUGGCGUGGAAGGCAAGCUAGGCAAUACAGAUAUGUAUAUCUCCUCCUUUGUAACCGACCUUGUGUAACCCUAGCCCCCUCCGGUGCCUAUAUAAAUCGGAGGGUUUUAGUCUGUAGGACAAGAUACAAUCAUACCAUAGGCUAGCUUUUAGGGUUUAGCCUCUCUGAUCUCGUGGUAGAUCGACUCUUGUAAUACUCAUAUCAUCAAGAACAAUCAAGCAGGACGUAGGGUAUUACCUCCAUCAAGAGGGCCCGAACAUGGGUAAACAUCGUGUCCCCUGCCUUCUGUUACCAUCCGCCUUAGACACACAGUUCGGGACCCCCUACCCGAGAUCCGCUGGUUUUGACACCGACACUUAUGCUACCAACCGAGCCUUGUUGUUGCGAACGGUAAUCCCAUGAUCAUCUUGCUUAUUCUUGAAUAUCCACUUGGUUCCAAUGACAUUAUGGUUCCCCGUUGGCCUUGGAACCAAUCUCCACACCUUGUUGUGCUCGAAGUUGUUGAGUUCUUCAUGCAUGACAUUAAGCCAAUCCGGAUCCUCGAGUGCCUCAUAGACCUUUUGGGGUUCAACACAAGACACAAACGCAUGAUGUUCACAAUAGUUUGCUAAUUGUCUAUGAGUGUUUACCCCCUUUCGUAUGCUUCCAAGCACAUUCAUCAUGAUAUGACCCUUGGUAGUGAGCUUGGAUGCAAUCUUGGCAGCACGAUGCUCCAAUUCCUCCUCAGGAGUGAGUUGAGGAGCGGUAACUUGAUCAUCUUGUGCGUUGUCUUGAGCUUGUUCUUGAUCUUGAUCUUUCUCUAGAUCUUGAACUUACUCGAAGGUGAGAACUUGAUCUUGGGCUUCACUUGGUGGUUCAACACCAUCUUGAGGUUGAUCUUGCCCUUGAUCUUGUUCAUGGGGUUGAGGGCCUUCACUUUGUUCUUUGGAAGCAUGUGGGUCUUGGGUUGGUGAUGGUUCCUAAGGGAGUCCUGGAUUAGGGGGUCUCCGGACAGCCGGACUAUAUCCUUUGGCCGGACUGUUGGACUAUGAAGAUAUGAGAUUGAAGACUUCGUCCCGUGUCCGGAUGGGACUCUACUUGGCGUGGAAGGCAAGCUAGGCAAUACAGAUAUGUAUAUCUCCUCCUUUGUAACUGACCUUGUGUAACCCUAGCCCCCUCCGGUGCCUAUAUAAACCGGAGGGUUUUAGUCCGUAGGACAAGAUACAAUCAUACCAUAGGCUAGCUUUUAGGGUUUAGCCUCUCUCAUCUCGUGGUAGAUCGACUCUUGUAAUACUCAUAUCAUCAAGAAUAAUCAAGCAGGACGUAGGGUAUUACCUCCAUCAAGAGGGCCCGAACCUGGGUAAACAUCGUGUCCCCUGCCUCCUGUUACCAUCCGCCUUAGACGCACAGUUCGGGACCCCCUACCCGAGAUCUGCCGGUUUUGACACCGACAUUGGUGCUUUCAUUGAGAGUUCCACUGUGUCGUCACCAUAAGGCUUGAUGGCUCCUUCGAUCAUCGCUAGCGAUGCGGUCCAGGGUGAGGCUUUCCUCCCCGGACAGAUCUUCAUAUUCGGCGGCUAUGCACUGCGGGCCAAUUCGCUUGGCCUUCUGGAGCAGAUUGAGAGCUACGCCCCUGGCCAUCAGGUCAGAUUCGGAAACUUGAACUACACGGCCAACAUCCGUGGAGACUUGAUCUUCGACGGAUUCGGGCCCAUGUCGGACGCGCCGUGCAGUCGUGACGAGCAUGACGUAACUCUGCCAUCGGACAAUGUUUGGGAGAUCGCAUCCGCAACUACUCCAUCCAUCAAUUCGGAGCAAGUCGCUCCAUCCGAGAGCGAAGGGAUGGACCCCGCCAUGGAGGCCGCACUCUCAGUGGCGUUAGAGCCGGAUACUGACUUGACUUCUUACGAGAGCCGUGUCGCCGAACCACUUGAUUCAUCUCCGGCCAUGGACUCCGAGCCGCUCAUAUCCGUGCCCGUCGAAUCCGACUGGGCGCCGAUCAUGGAGUUCACCUCCGCGGAUAUCUUUCAGCACUCACCUUUAGGAGAUGUGCUAAAUUCAUUAAGGUCUCUCUCCCUGUCAGGAGAACCUUGGCCGAACUAUGUCCGGCUAGAAUGGGAUGCGGACGACGAAGAAAUUCGCUGCCCACCCACCACCCACUUAGUAGCCACUGUCGAUGACUUAACUGACAUGCUCGACUUUGGCUCCGAAGACUUCGACGGUAUGGACGACAAAGCCGGAGACGAACAGGAUCCACCGCCCUCGGGGCACUGGAACACCACCUCAUCAUAUGAUAUAUACAUGGUGGACACCCCCAAAGAAGCCAAUGGCGAUGAGACAGCGGAGGAUGACCCCUCCAAGAAGCAACCCAAGCGCCAACGUCAGCGGAGCCGCUCUAAGUCCCUCCACAGCAAGAGCAGUGAUACCGACACAGGAGAUAAUAACACUCCGGAUAGCGCCGAAGACAACAACAAUCCCCUCCAGCACGGUGCAGAGCUAGAGGACGAACAACCUAGCCCUCCAGAGCAGGCAGCAGAUGGAUAACCGGAGGAGGACAAUUACAUGCCUCUCUCCGAAGACGAGGCGAGCCUCAGCGACGACGAGUUUAUCGUGCCUAAGGACCCCGUCGAGCAAGAGCGCUUCAAGCGCCGCCUUAUGGCCACGGCAAAUAGCCUAAAGAAGAAACAACAACAGCUUCAAGCUAAUCAAGACUUGCUAGCAGACAGGUGGACCGAAGUCCUUGCGGCCAAGGAGCAUGAACUCGAGCGCCCGUCCAAGAGUUACCCAAAGCGCAGGUUACUACCUCACCUUGAGGAGGAAGCAUUGAAACCUCAUUCACCAGUGUACGAUGCGGCUGACCAGCCACUACGCGGCCGAGCCAAGGAGGCAUUUCAGCCUAAAGAUCAGACCGCACCCCGUCGCCACUCAGUCAAAAAUACCAAGGCCCGGGGCAACACAGAGGACCUACGAGAUAUCUUCGACAGUAAGGCAAAAAUUGCAAGGUCAAUAUAUGGGACACGGGCACGUGCGCCCACAUGGGACGAUGAUCGUCGCGUCGGAUACACCAAGAGUAAAUCCGGCCGGGCCGAAUAUAGCAGACAAGACUCAUACGAACUACGUCGGGAUAUAGCCCGGCACAGAGGUGCCGCACACCCCCUAUGCUUCACUGAUGAAGUUAUGAAUCAUGAAUUCCCGGAGGGUUUCAAACCCGUAAAUAUCGAAUCAUACGAUGGCACAACAGAUCCCGCUGUAUGGAUUGAAGAUUUCCUCCUUCACAUCCACAUGGCUCGCGGUGAUGAUCUACAUGCCAUCAAGUACCUCCCACUAAAACUCAAAGGACUAGCUCGGCAUUGGCUGAAUAGCUUGCCCGCAGAUUCUGUUGGCAGUUGGGAGGAUCUGGAAGAUGCAUUUAUUGACAACUUCCAGGGCACUUAUGUGCGGCUGCCGGAUGUUGAUGACUUGAGCCACAUAACCUAGCAGCCAGGGGAAUCGGCCAAACAAUUUUGGAUAUGGUUCCUGACUAAGAAAAAUCAAAUUGUAGACUGCUCGGAUGCAGAGGCCCUAGCGAACAUUCAAGCAUAACAUCCGCGACGAGUGGCUCGCCCGCCACCUCGGCCAGGAGAAGCCAAAAUCUUUGGCAGCCCCCACGACACUCAUGACCCGCUUUUGCAUGGGCGAGGACAGCUGGCUGGCUCGCAGCAACAACACAUCAAGGAAUCCGGAUACCUCGGAUACCAAAGAUGCUAACGGUAGGCAGCGUCGUAAUAGACCAAAGCGCCGCAAUAACGGCGAUAACACCGAAGAUACGGCAGUUAAUGCUAGAUUCAAAGGCUCUAGAUCCGGUCAGCAGAAAAAGCCAUUUAAAAGAAACACUCCGGCUCCAUCCAGUCUGGGUCGCAUACUGGAUCGCUCGUGUCAAAUCCACGGCACCCCCGACAAGCCAGCCAAUCACACCAACAGAGAAUGCUGGGUGUUCAAGCAGGCCGGUAAGUUAAAUGCCGAGAAUAAUGACAAGGGGCCGCACAGUGAUGACGAGAAGGAGCCCCGGCCGCCGAACACAGGAGGACAGAAGGGGUUUCCCCCACAAGUGAAUACGAUGAACAUGAUAUACGCAACCCACAUUCCCAAGAGGGAGCGGAAGCGUGCACUAAGGGACGUCUACGCGAUGGAGCCCGUCGCCCCAAAGUUCAACCCAUGGUCUGCCUGUCCGAUCACCUUCGAUCACAGGGACCACCCCACUAGCAUCCAUCAUGGUGGAUCCGCCGCACUGGUCCUAGACCCCAUCAUUGACGGAUUUCACCUCACUCGAGUCCUUAUGGAUGGCGGCAGCAGCCUGAACCUGCUUUAUCAGGAUAUAGUGCAAAAAAUGGGUAUGAUCCCUCGAGAAUCAAACCCAGAAAAACCACCUUUAAAGGUGUCAUCCCAGGUGUAGAGGCCCAUUGCAUAGGCUCAAUCACAUUGGAAGUGGUCUUCAGAUCAUCGGAUAACUUCUGAAGUGAAGAGUUAAUCUUCGACAUCGUCCCAUUUCGCAGUGGCUACCAUGCACUGCUCGAACGGACAACAUUUGCAAAAUUCAAUGCAGUGCCACAUUACGCAUACCUCAAGAUCAAGAUGCGAGGACCUCGCAGGGUUAUAACAGUAAAUGGAAACACAGAACGCUCGCUUUGUAUGGAAGAGCACACUGCGGCCCUUGCAGCAGAGGCACAAAGCAACCUGUUCAGGCAGACCACUCAUUCAGUGUCACAGCCCCCGGACACCUUCAAGUGAGUCCAAAACAAGCUGCAAAAGGAUCGCCUGGCAUGAUCAGAGCUCGCCUAGCAAUCCGGCCCCAGUCCCAGUCCCAGUGAAGCGACGAAAACCGCGCCGCACGUACAUAACUACGCAUUGAAAAUACCAUGAACAUAGGCGGCGGCACAAUCAGGACACGUCAUGCAUUGUGGCUUAACCACACUAGGGGUUGUACACCUGUGACAUUCCUUUCCUCUUUCAGGGCCUAACUCUUUGGAAGCCCUUUCCGGCAGUACGAUUGUCGGACAUAUUCCGGAAGCAACAACCAAGGCGGCAAGAAGCUAGGAUGAACACGGGAACCGCCAGGUGGUCUCUAGUAAUACUUGAUAUACCCAUUUUCACUAUUUAUGCAUAGCUUGCCCUGGGAUAGGACAUUUCGAAUUGUCCUACUUUAUGCUUAUUGCACUACUUGUACUAGUACGCUUCGACGUAUUAUUCAAAUAACAAUGCAUAUCAUUAAUCUGUCAUUGCAUUAUUUAAGUUUUUCUCUUUUCUCUUAUACGUCCAUUUACGACAAUCCGCACCCGCACGUUCGGGUACGGUCAGUACGCCAGGGGCUCUCGUUUACCCCACAAUACGGUGCAGGAAGUCCGAACACUUUCGACAGUGUGGCACCCCGAACUUAUAGCAUUAUAUGCAUCAGCUCCGAAUCAUGUCUUUGGUCAAAUGUUGGGUCACCCGGCUCCCAUGCUUUGGUACCUUACGUUCCGCUAUAUCGGCUAAGGUAGCGGUGGGAGAACUACUCCGAUUGUGUCCCGGUUCUUCCGGACGAGCACCUUAGUAGAGAAAGCCAAAAACUGACUAUCAUGAUAAGGCGAGAGACUGGUCGUUGUUCGAGAGGUCUCAAGUCCUUAAAGACUUUUUCCGCUUCGGGCUAGGAGUCGGCCUUGUCCAGCUUAGGCGUGUAUAGCGCCCCAAAUUCGGCCCUCCGAAUACCAGGGGCUUCGCCAAAAAUUUAAAAUUAUAGACUUCUAUGGCUAAGUGAGAGUGAUAAAGCAUUAUAGUCUGAUUGCCUGGUUCGUUGAUGAACACCUCCCUUGAAGGACCCAAAAUUGGGGUAAAGAGUGUUCAGAUUUACCCCGAACACCCCAGUACUAGUUACAUGGGGGUAGAAGCCGACGACUGGCCAACUCUCAGAUUUUAUAAAAACGGCCACACAGAAGGUAAUAUUUUAAAUUAAGAAAGCGUCGCAUGGCGCAAAAGAACUCGUUUCAUAUUACAGGAUCACAUGGGCAUGUUCAUUCGAAAAUUACAUCCUUGGCACACUCAUCUGCCACUAAGCGGGAACCCUUCAGGACACUCUCACAGUAAUUCUCGGGACAGCGAUGCUCCUUGCCCUCCGGCGGCCCCUCCUUCACCAGCUUCACGGCAUCCAGCUUUGCCAGUGCACCUUCGCUCGGGCAAAAGCCUUGCGUGCACCUUUGAUGCAGACGGACCGCUUGAUGACUUCAAGCCGUGGGCAGGCUUCCACAAGCCGCCUCACCAAACCGAAGUAGCUGCCGGACAGGGGCUCGCCAGGCCACAUCCGGACUAUAAGGCCCCUCAUGGCCUUUUCGGCUGCCUUGUGAAGUUCGACCAACUGCUUUAGCUGGUCGCUCAAGGACACGGGGUGUUCGGUCCCAGUAUACUGAGACCAGAACAACUUCUCCGCUGAGCUCCCUUCCUCAGCCCGGUAAAACUCCGCGGCAUCCAGUACAUUGCGGGGAAGAUCUGCAAACGCUCCUAGAGAGCUCCGAACUCGGGUAAGAAAAAGGAAAGUCUCCUUCACAUGCUUGCUUUGCAUAUUGAAUGCCUUACCCGCUGCUAUCUUCUUCGCCGCGUCAAUCUCCUGGAGGGCCUUGUGGGCUUCGGCCUUGGCGCUCCGGACGCUUUCAAGCGCCUGCGCAAGCUCGGACUCUCGCAUCUUGGAGUCAAGCUCCAAGGACUCGUGCUUUUUGGCGAGAGCCUCGAGCUCUUGCUGCACCUCGCCUACUCGGGCUUCUUGUUUCUCCCGUUCCAGGCGUUCUUUAGCCGCUUUGUCUUCGGCCUCGGACACCGCCUUCCUCAGGGUCUCCACCUCGGUCGUGGCCCCUGACAAACUCAUGAAUAUCCUAUUACUUUACACCCGAACUUCUUUUUAACUAUAUAGACGGGGGUAUAUCUUAGCUUUGCUCUCUUCGAGCUGCCCCUUGGUGAGGCUGAGCUCGUCCUCAUACCGCUUCAGGGCCUGCUUCAGCGUAGAAACCUCCACAGUACGUGCGGCAGCGGACAAUAGUGAAGCAUGCACAUACACAUAGACAUACUCUAAUUAGACUCCUGAGUUAUCAUUUGAUCCUCUAUUCGGCUUUUCUUCACGAACGCCGAACAGAGCAUCAGGGGCUACUAUCUGUGCAGUAAUAUUUUCUUAUAUUUUGAAUGCUUACCUCAAAGCCUGUUAGGAGGCUGGCACAAGUUUCGGUCAGUCCGUUUUUGGCGGACUGAACCUUCUUGACCACCGCACUCAUGAUAGUGCGGUACUCUUCUGCGAUGGAAGCGCUGCGAAGCGCUUACAGCAAGGUGUCCGGUGCCUCUGGUUGGACAGAGGACACCGGCACGGAUGGUUGGCCCCCCUUAAUGGGGGACCGCCUGCCGGAGUCCGGAACCAUCGAAGGUUCUGGCGCAGUGUCCGGCUGGGGCCUGAACUCGAAACCCGUAGGAGCCUCGCUCCCUUGGUACCCAGGGUCCAGGAGGUCGCCGUGAGGCGCUCCCAUGAUCACCUCCCCUUGGCUCGGUGCCUUUUGAGACAACACCUCGGCGUUGUCCGUACGGCGAGGGGUGAAAGCCGUUGAAGGAGAACCGUUGUUCAUAUCCGACGAGUCCAAAGAGCGCUCGAUGAGGGUACGUCGAGAUGAGCUCGAGACGGACUGCAUAAUCAUGUUCGGCAUGAGGAAAGGUAGUACAAUAAAACAUACCAUGAAGCACUAUGGUGUCCGGUCACUUACGACUUCGCCAGGGGCUUGUCUCUGGGUAGCCACCCGUCGCCGCUGUCGGCGGCCGUCGUGGCACAGUCCGGAGGGAGGGUCUUUCCCUUCUUGGACCCUUCGGCCUCCCCGGAUGGGUCAGCCUUCCUUUUCUUGUCUCCCUUGGCUGGAGGGGAGAGCUUUUCUCCUCCUCCUCGUUUCCGUGGGAGGAGUGCGCGUCGGAGUCAUCGGACGAUGAGCCCGAUGUAACCUUGCGUCGGAGACCCUUUCGGGUCCCCGUGGCCUUCUUCUUGGCCUUCUUUUCCGGCACCUCAUAAGGUGCCGGAGUUAGCAUCUUCGUUAGAAGAGCAUCUGCAGGAUCUUCGGGCAGGGGGGCUGGGCAAUCAAGCUGCUCCGCUGUCUCUAUCCAGUCAUGUUAAUAACAUGAAAGCUUAGAUCCAGCACAUAACUAAACCAGGGCGAAUAAAUACCCUGAGAGAUAUAAAAGCCUACCGGAUGGGCGCGAUGCUUUGCGCUGAGUCUGUGGUCCUCGAUAAGGGAGGGAGGCAUCUCGGCGCCCUUGAACAACACCCUCCAGACGUGCUCGUGCAUCGUGUCGUAGAGCUGUGCAGCGUCUGGUGCUUGGCCGAGUCGAACUCCCACAAAACAAAUGCCCGUCGUUGGCAUGGAAGGAUCCGGCGGAAGAGCAUAACCUGGACCACGUUCACGAGCUUGAUUUCCUUGUUCGUCAUGUUCUGGAUGCAGGUCUGGAGUCCGGUCAGCUCUACCGCGGAACCCCAGGACAGACCCUUCUUUUUCCAAGAGGUGAGCCGCGUGGGCAUUGCGGAUCGAAAUUUGGGGGCCGCCACCCAUUUGGAGUCGCGCGGCUCGGUGAUGUAGAACCACCCCGAUUGCCACCCCUUUAUGGCAUCCACGUAGGUGCCCUCGAGCCAGGUGACAUUAGGCAUCUUGCCCACCAUGGCGCCUCCGCACUCUGCUUGCUGGCCACCCACCACCUUCGGUUUUACAUUCAAGGUUUCAGUCAUAGGCCGAAGUGGGGCCUGAUGCGGAGGAAGGCCUCACACACGACAAUAAACGCCCAGAUCAUGAAAAUCCAGCCCGUAGUAGAACAUGAGCCCGUGGACAAAUGGGUGGAGAGGAAAUCCUAGUCCGCGGACGAAAUGGGUAAGAAAAACUACCCUCUCAUGGGGUUCGGGCGUGGGGACGAUCUGCCCCGCAUUUGGCAGCCAGUGCACGAUAUCCGCGGCCAAGUAUCCGGCUUCCCGUAACUUUUUGAUGUUCUCCUCCGUGAUGGAGGAGACCAUCCACUUGCCUCCUGCUCCGGACAUGAUUGGAGUGGUUCAAGAAGAAGAACGCGAGCUUGGGCGCUAGAGCUCGAGUGUGCGGGAAUGGGUAAGCGAGGAGGAAGGAGGCGUGGGUGAAAAAAGUAAAUCUUUGUCCCUUUAUAAGGGCGGAGGAGGCGAUGAGUCUCCCCACUUGGCUGGCAAAAACCGCUUAUUCCCCAGGCGCCGUAAUUGAUGGCGCGGUUGGGUUACCCACGCCCGUAUUGAUGAGAAUCUCGUGAUAAGGGGAACACGAUCUCUGCUUUGACAAGACGUAUCAAGAAAACUGCCUCGCAAUAUGUGCGGAGCUGGUUGAGAAAAGCGGUUCGAAUAAUAACCGGUCCAUGGUGUGAUGUGAUGCUGUGAAAACGUGUCAGCAAAUUAGAUUUGUGGAAAUAUUAUUCUCUCUACGGUGGUAUGUGGAACUUAUUUUGCAGGGUCAAACACUAUCCUCAUAUUCAAACUCUUCCAUGGUGUAUUCGGAGGAGGACCCCGCCUUGCAAUGCCGAAGACAAUACCGCGCGCCGGACUCAUCGUCAUUGAAGCCUACUUCAGGGGCUACUGAGGGAGUCCUGGAUUAGGGGGUCUCUGGACAGCCGGACUAUAUCCUUUGCCCGGACUGUUGGACUAUGAAGAUACGAGAUUGAAGACUUCAUCCCGUGUCCGGAUGGGACUCUACUUGGCGUGGAAGGCAAGCUAGGCAAUACGGAUAUGUAUAUCUCCUCCUUUGUAACUGACCUUGUGUAACCCUAGACCCUCCGGUGCCUAUAUAAACCGGAGGGUUUUAGUCCGUAGGACAAGAUGCAAUCAUACCAUAGGCUAGCUUUUAGGGUUUAGCCUCUCUGAUCUCGUGGUAGAUCGACUCUUGUAAUACUCAUAUCAUCAAGAACAAUCAAGCAGGACGUAGGGUAUUACCUCCAUCAAGAGGGCCCGAACCUGGGUAAACAUCGUGUCCCCUGCCUCCUAUUACCAUCCGCCUUAGACGCACAGUUCGGGACCCCCUACCCGAGAUCCGCCGGUUUUGACACCGACAGUUCCACUUGAGUGGAACAUUGUCCUUCUCCUUCAGCCAUAAGGGGUUCCUCAACAGGUAGGAUAAAACCAACACCCAUUCUUCUUAUGGCUUGGGGAGGAAUUUCAUCACCUACAUCACAAUGUACCACUUUGGUCCACAUGGGAGAUGUUAUUCUCAUCAAACUCCACGUUACACGUCUCCUCAAUAAGUCCCGUGGACUUAUUGAGGACACGGUAAGAAUGAGAGUUUGUAGCAUAACCAAAAAAAUAUGCCAUCAUAAGCUCUAGCCUCAAAUUUAGACAAACGAACACCUUUCUUGAGAAUGAAACACUUACACCCGAACACCCGAAAGUACUUGAGGUUGGGUUGUUACCGGUCAGUAUCUCAUAUGGAUUUUUGUUAAAGCCUUUGCGGAGAUAGAGCCGAUUGGAUGCAUGACAUGCCGUGUUGAUGGCUUCGUCCCAAAAGUUGUAAGGAUACUUGAACUCCGCCAUCAUGGUCCUUGCCGCAUCCGUCAACGUCCGGUUCUUCCUAUCCGCUACACCAUUUUAUUGAGGGGUGUAAGGUGCGGAAUAUUGAUGCUUGAUCCCCUCAUGACUAAGAAACUCAUCCAAGGUGUAGUUCUUGAACUCGGUGCCGUUGUCACUUAUCGUCAAAAUCUUUACAUUGUGUUGGCGUUGAGCUUAAUUUGCAAAGUUAAUGGCGGUUUGUUGGGUCUCACUCUUCCUCUUGAAGAAGUAUACCCAAGUGUAUCUUGAAUAAUCAUCCACAAUCACCAAGCAAUACUUUCUACUCCCAAGACUAUCAAAGGAUGGAGGCCCAAAGAGAUCGAAGUGAAGGAGUUCCAAAGGCCUCUUCGAGUAAACGAUAGUCGUGGGAGGGUGAGCCUUCUCAUGUAGCUUUCCUUCGAUACAAGCACUGCAAGCAUGGUCUUUGGCAAAACUAACAUUUGUUAGUCCACAGACAUGGUCCCCUUGAGAAGACUUUGCAAAGAUCUCAUAUUGACAUGGGCUAAACGGCGAUGCCAAAGCCAUCCCACGUCAACUUUAUCCAUUAGGCAUGUCGUGGUCUUAGUGGGUCGCUCCGAAAAUUUAAUCACAUAGAGAACGUUCUUGACAUGCCCAACAAAGGCUACUUUAAGAGUCUUGCUCCACAAGAGGGCCAUGAUACGUCUCCAACGUAUCUAUAAUUUUUGAUUGCUCCAUGCUAUAUUAUCUACUGUUUUGGACUAUAUUGGGCUUUAUUUUCCACUUUUAUAUUAUUUUUGGACUAAUCUAUUAACCGGAGGCCCAGCCCAGAAUUGCUGUUUUUUUGCCUAUUUCAGUGUUUCGAAGAAACAGAAUAUCAGACGGAGUCCAAACGGAAUAAAAUCUUUGGGAACGUGAUUUUCUCACCGAAUGUGAUCCAGGAGACUUGGACCCUGCUCCCAGGAACAAAAGAGGCGGUCGCGAGGGUGGAGGGCGCCCCCCCUAGGGUGCGCCCCCUGCCUCGUGGGCCCCUCGUUGCUCCUCACUUCUUCCUCCUAUAUAUACACACGUACCCCCAAACGAUCAGAAUAGGAGCCAAAAACCUAAUUCCACCACCGCAACUUUCUGUAUCCACGAGAUCCCAUCUUGGGGCCUGUUCCGGAGCUCCGCCGGAAGAGGGCCGUCAUCACGGAGGGCUUCUACAUCAUCCUAGCCUCUCCGAUGAAGUGUGAGUAGUUUACCUCAGACCUUCGGGUCCAUAGUUAGUAGCUAGAUGGCUUCUUCUCUCUUUUUGGAUCUCAAUACAAUGUUCUCCCCCUCUCUUGUGGAGAUCUAUUCGAUGUAAUCUUCUUCUUUUGCGGUGUGUUUGUUGAGACCGAUGAAUUGUGGGUUUAUGAUCAAGUCUAUCUAUGAACAAUAUUUGAAUCUUCUCUGAAUUCUUUUAUGUAUGAUUGGUUAUCUUUGCAAGUCUCUUCGAGUUUCGUUUGGUUUGGCCAACUAGAUUGGUAGUUCUUGCCAUGGGAGAAGUGCUUAGCUUUGGGUUCGAUCUUGCGGUGUUCUUUCCCAGUGACAGAAGGGGCAGCAAGACACGUAUUGUAUCGUUGCCAUCGAGGAUAACAAGAUGGGGUUUAUUUCAUAUUGCAUGAAUUUAUCUCUCUACAUCAUGUCAUCUUGCUUAAAGUGUUACUCUGUUUUUAACUUAAUACUCUAGAUGCAUGCUGGAUAGCGGUCGAUGAGUGGAGUAAUAGUAGUAGAUGCAGAAUCAUUUCGGUCUACUUGUCACGGACGUGAUGCCUAUAUACAUGAUCAUGCCUAGAUAUUCUCAUAACUAUGCUCAAUUCCGUCAAUUGCUCAACAGUAAUUUGUUCACCCACCGUAGAAAACUUAUGCUCUCGAGAGAAGCCACUAGUGAAACCUAUGGCCCUCGGGUCUAUUCUCAUCAUAUCAAUCUCCAUCACUUUUAUAUUGUUUUGCUAUUUACUUUGCUUUUUACUUUUUACUUUGCAUCUUUAUAUCAAAAAUACCAAAAAUAUUCUAUCUAUCAGAUCUCACUCUCGUAAGUGACCGUGAAGGGCUUGACAACCCCUAAUCGUGUUGGUUGCGGGUAGCUAUCGCUUUGUGCAGGUACGAGGGACUUGAGCGUGGGCUCCUACUGGAUUGAUACCUUGGUUCUCAAAAACUGAGGGAAAUACUUACGCUACUCAGCUGCAUCAUCCCUUCCUCUUCGGGGAAAACCAACGCAAGCUCAAGACGUAGCAAGAAGGAUUUCUGGCGCCGUUGCCGGGGAGUCUACGCAAAAAGUCAACAUACCAAGUACCCAUCGCAAUCCCUAUCUCUCGCAUUACAUUAUUUGCCAUUUGCCUCUCAUUUUCCUCUCCCCCAAUUCACCCUUGCCGUUUUAUUCGCCCUCUCUUUCUCUCUCUAUCCUCCCUCUCGUUUGCUAUUUGCCUCUUUUGCCCGUUUCUUGUUUGCUCGUAUGGUUGGAAUAGUCAUUUAUUUAUUACUAAACAGAGAACUAAUAUCUAUGGAUCCUCAUCCGCUUGUCAAUCUUUUUAAGAGAUCCAAUUAUGAUGAACCAAUUCCUAGUGAUUUGGAUGCACAAGAUUAUCUUUAUAAGCUUUUGCCUGAAAUCCAUAAAUCUGAAAAUUGUGAUGAAGUGCUUCACGAUAGAUCUUUGAAUAAAAAGCAUGACUGCAAUGAUUUUAUUAUAAAUUCUCUUGAUGUCAAUUGUGCUAAUAAUAUGCAAAACCCUAAGCUUGGGGAUGCUAGUUUUGCUAUGUCCUCUACUUGUUGCAAUGAUCAUGAUUGGGGUGAUUCUUCUUUUGAUCUUGAAAAUUUAUUUAAACCCCAUGAUGAAUAUGAGAUUGAUUAUAAUGUUUGCAAUAAUUUUGGAAGUGGGUUUGGAAGAAUGUCAACUUUAGCUCCCACAUAUUUGGAGAAUGUUCAAUCUUAUGAAGUUUUUGAUAAAAGUGGGUUUGGAAAGGUCGUGACUUUAGUUAAUGUUAAUCCCACUAUUUUGGAAGAGUGUCAACUUUGCACGCAUGUGGAUUGUGUUGAAAAUAUUUUAUGUGAUAGCUAUUUUGUUGAAUUUACUUAUGAUCCUACAUAUAAUUAUUAUGAGAAAGUAAAAUAUGGUGGUAGAAAUUUCCAUGUUACUAAAUUACCUCUCGUUAUGUUGAGAUUGCUAUUGUUUCCUUCCGCUUCCUUGCAUAUGCUAGUUUUCGCUUGCCUUGAUAAUUUGUUUGCCUAUAAAAUGCCUAUUCAUAGGAAGUAUGUUAGACUUGGAUGUGUUUGUCACGUGUUUUAUGAUGCUCUGUUUGUGCUUCAAUUCUUGUCUUUCAUGUGAGCAUCAUUAAAAUUAUCAAUGCCUAGCUUUAAGGAUUUAAAGAAAAGUGCUUGUUGGGAGUCAACCCAAUAUUUAUCCUUGCUGUCAUUUAAUAAAUAAAUUAUUUAGCCUCUGUUUUGGUUGUGUUUUUUUGUGUUUAAUUAGUGUUUGUGCCAAGUAGAACCUUUGGGAAGACUUGGGGAAAGUCUUGUUGAACUUGCUGUAAAAAACAGAAACUUUAGCGCUCAUGAGAACUGCUGUCAUUUUUAUUUGAAGAGUGCUAUUUAGUUAAUUAUUUUUGCAGAUGAUUAAUAGAUAAAUUCCUCACGUCCAGCAUUUUAUUUUAGAAUUUUUGGGGUUCCAGAUCUUGCGCUAGCUACAGAUUACUACAGACUGUUCUGUUUUUGACAGAUUCUGUUUUUCGUGUGUUGUUUGCUUAUUUUGAUGAAUCUAUGGCUAGUAAAAUAGUUUAUAAUCCAUAGAGAAGUUGGAAUACAGUAGCUUUAACACCAAUAUAAAUAAAUAAUGAGUUCAUUACAGUACCUUGAAGUGGUCUUUUGUUUUCUUUCGCUAACGGAGCUCACUUGUUUUCUAUUUUGAGUUUUGUGUUGUGAAGUUUUCAAGUUUUGGGUGAGUUCUUUUGAUGGAUUAUGGAACAAGGAGUGGCAAGAGACUAAGCUUGGGGAUGCCCAUGGCACCCCCAAGAUAAUCCAAGGACACCAAAAAGUCAAAGCUUGGGGAUGCCCCGGAAGGCAUCCCCUCUUUCGUCCACUUCCAUCGAUAAUUUACUUGGAGCUAUAUUUUUAUUCACCAACAUGAUAUGUGUUUUGCUUGGAGCGUCUUGUAUUAUUUGUGUCUUUUUUUGUUAGUAUGCCACAAUCAUCCUUGCUUUACACACCUUUUGAGAGAGUCAUCUAUGAAUUAAAAUUUGAUAGAAUACUCUAUGUGCUUCACUUAUAUCUUUUGAGCUAUGUAGUUUUGCUCUACGUACUUCACUUAUAUCUUUUGAGCGUUAUAAUUUUGCUCUAUGUGCUUCACUUAGAUCUUUUAGAUCACGGUGGUGGUUUGUUUUAAAUAAACUAUUGAUCUCUCAUGCUUCACUUAAAUUAUUUUGAGAGUCUUAAUAGCAUGGUAAUUUGCUUAACAUAAAUAUGCUUAGUGUUCAAGAUAUGUGAAAUUUUCUUUUGAGUGCGUUGAAUACUAAGAGAAGAUUGAAGCAUGAUAAUUGUUUUGAGAUAUGGAGGUGAUAAUAUUAGAGUUAUGCUAGUUUAGUAGUUGUGAAUUUAAAGAAUACUUGUGUUAAAGUUUGUGAUUCCCGUAGCAUGCACGUAUGGUGAACCGUUAUGUGAUGAAGUCGGAGCAUAAUUUAUUUAUUGAUUGUCUUCCUUAUGAGUGGCGGUCGGGGACGAGCGAUGGUAUUUUCCUACCAAUCUAUCCCCCUAUGAGGAUGUGCGUAAUACUUUGAUUUGAUAACUUCUAGAUUUUUGCAAUAAGUAUAUGAGUUCUUUAUGACUAAUGUUGAGUCCAUGGAUUAUAUGCACUUUUUCCCAUCCUUCCACCAUUGCUAGCCUCUCUAAUACCGCGCACCUUUCGCCGGUAUCAUACACCCACCAUAUACCUUCCUCAAAACAGCCACCAUACCUACCUAUCAUUUCAUUUCCAUAGCCAUUCCGAGAUAUAUUGCCAUGCAACUUUCCACCGUUCUGUUUAUUAUGACACGCUCCAUCAUUGUCAUAUUGCUAGCAUGAUCAUGUAGUUGACAUUGUAUUUGUGGCAAAGCCACCAUUCAUAAUUCUUUCAUACAUGUCACUCUUGAUUCAUUGCAUCUCCCGGUACACCGCCGGAGGCAUUGAUAUAGAGUCAUAUUUGUUCUAAGUAUCGAGUUGUAAUUGUUGAGUUGUAAGAAAAAUAAAAGUGUGAUGAUCAUCAUUUUCUAGAGCAUUGUCCCAAGUGAGGAAAGGAUGAUGGAGACUAUGAUUCCCCCAUAAGUCGGGAUGAGACUCCGGACGAAAAAUAAAUAAAAGAGGCCAAAGAAGCCCAAAAAAAGAGAGAAAGAAAAGAGGCCAUAAAAAAGAAGAAAAGGCCCAAAUAAAAAUAAAUAAAUAAAAAAUGAGAGAAAAAAGAGAGAAGGGACAAUGUUACUAUCCUUUUACCACACUUGUGCUUCAAAGUAGCACCAUGAUCUUCAUAGUAGAGAGUCUCUCAUGUUAUCACUUUCAUAUACUAGUGGGAAUCUUUCAUUAUAGAACUUGGCUUGUAUAUUCCAAUGACGGGCUUCCUCAAAUUGCCCUAGGUCUUCAUGAGCAAGCAAGUUGGAUGCACACCCACUUAGUUUCUUUUUGAGCUUUCAUAUACUUAUAGCUCUAGUGCAUCCGUUGCAUGGCAAUCCCUACUCACUCACAUUGAUAUCUAUUGAUGGGCAUCUCCAUAGCCCGUUGAUACGCCUAGUUGAUGCGAGACUAUCUUCUCCUUUUUGUCUUCUCCACAACCACCAUUCUAUUCCACCUAUAGUGCUAUAUCCAUGGCUCACACUCAUGUAUUGCGUGAAGAUUGAAAAAGUUAGAGUAUGAAACAAUUGCUUGGCUGGUCAUCGGGGUUGUGCAUGAUUUAAAUACUUUGUGUGGUGAAGAUAGAGCAUAGCCAGACUAUAUGAUUUUGUAGGGAUAACUUUCUUUGGCCAUGUUAUUUUGAGAAGACAUAAUUACUUUAUUAGUAUGCUUGAAGUGUUAUUAUUCUUUAUGUCAAUAUGAACUUUUGUCUCAAAUCUUUCUAAUCUGAAUAUCCAUACCACAAUUAAGAAAUUUUGCAUUGAAAGUAUGCCAAGUAGCACUCCGCAUCAAAAAUUCUCUUUUUAUCAUUUACCUACUUGAGGACGAGCAGGAAUUAAGCUUGGGGAUGCCUGAUACGUCUCCAAUGUAUCUAUAAUUUUUGAUUGCUCCAUGCUAUAUUAUCUACUGUUUUGGACUAUAUUGGGCUUUAUUUUCCACUAUUAUAUUAUUUUUGGGACUAACUUAUUAACCGGAGGCCCAGCCCAGAAUUGAUGUUUUUUGCCUAUUUCAGUGUUUCGAAGAAACAGAAUAGCAGACGGAGUCCAAACGGAAUAAAAUCUUCGGGAACGUGAUUUUCUCACCGAACGUGAUCCAGGAGACUUGGACCCUACUCCAGGUGGUCACGAGGGCGGGGGGCGCCCCCCCUAGGGCGCGCCCCCUGCCUCGUGGGCCCCUCGUUGCUCCUCCGGCGUACUUCUUCCUCCUAUAUAUAUACAUGUACCCCCAAACGAUCAGAACAGGAGCCAAAAACCUAAUUCCACCGCUGCAACUUUCUGUAUCCAUGAGAUCCCAUCUUGGGGCAUGUUUCGGAGCUCCGCCGAAAGAGGGCCGUCAUCACGGAGGGAUUCUACAUCAUCCUAGCCUCUCCGAUGAAGUGUGAGUAGUUUACCUCAGACCUUCAGGUCCAUAGUUAGUAGCUAGAUGGCUUCUUCUCUCUUUUUGGAUCUCAAUACAAUGUUCUCCCCCUCUCUUGUGGAGAUCUAUUCGAUGUAAUCUUCUUCUUUUGCGGUGUGUUUGUUGAGACCGAUGAAUUGUGGGUUUAUGAUCAAGUCUAUCUAUGAACAAUAUUUGAAUCUUCUCUGAAUUCUUUUAUGUAUGAUUGGUUAUCUUUGCAAGUCUCUUCGAAUUAUCCGUUUGGUUUGGCCAACUAGAUUGGUAGUUCUUGCCAUGGGAGAAGUGCUUAGCUUUGGGUUCGAUCUUGCGGUGUUAUUUCCCAGUGACAGAAGGGGCAUCAAGACACAUAUUGUAUCAUUGCCAUCGAGGAUAACAAGAUGGGGUUUAUUUCAUAUUGCAUGAAUUUAUCUCUCUACAUCAUGUCAUCUUGCUUAAAGCGUUACUCUGUUUUUAACUUAAUACUCUAGAUGCAUGCUGGAUAGCGGUCGAUGAGUGGAGUAAUAGUAGUAGAUGCAGAAUCGUUUCGGUCUACUUGUCAUGGACGUGAUGCCUAUAUACAUGAUCAUGCCUAGAUAUUCUCAUAACUAUGCUCAAUUCUGUCAAUUGCUCAAUAGUAAUUUGUUCACCCACUGUAGAAAACUUAUGCUCUCGAGAGAAUCCACUAGUGAAACCUAUGGCCCCCGGGUCUAUUCUCAUCAUAUCAAUCUCCAUCACUUCUAUAUUGUUUUGCUAUUUACUUUGAUUUUACUUUUUACUUUGCAUCUUUAUAUCAAAAAUACCAAAAAUAUUCUAUCUAUCAGAUCUCACUCUCGUAAGUGACCGUGAAGGGCUUGACAACCCCUAAUCACGUUGGUUGCGGGUAGCUAUCGCUUUGUGCAGGUACGAGGCCACGGUAUCAAUAUCAAAGAAAGUGGCAAAGCCCAUGAGUGCAAGUUGACGAACGGAAAGUAAAUUGUAUGCAAGCUCAACAAGCAUGACUUUCUCAAUCGUGAGAUCAUGAGAAAUGACAACCUUGCCAAGUCCUAAUACCUUAGAAGACGAGGCAUCACCCCACUCGACAUUGGUGGGCAUAGAUGGAAUCUUGUGCACGUCCACCACCAAGUCCUUGCUUCCGGUCAUAUGAUUAGUGGCUCCACUGUCGAGCAACCAAGUGCUACCUCUUGAGCACUGCAUUGGUUUUCCCUUGAAGAGGAAAGGGUGAUGUAGCAAAGUAGCGUAAGUAUUUCCCUUAGUUUUUGAGAACCAAGGUAUCAAUCCAGUAGGAGAUCACGCUCGAGUCCCACACACCUACACAAACAAAUAAGAACCUCGCAACCAACGUGAUAAAGGGGUUGUCAAUCCCUUCACGGUCACUUACGAGAGUGAGAUCUGAUAGAUAUGAUAAUAUAAUAUUUUUGGUAUUUUUAUGAUAAAGAUGCAAAGUAAAAUAAACGGCAAAAGAACUAACUAGGUGUUGGAAGAUUAAUAUGAUGGAAGAUAGACCCGGGGCCAUAGGUUUCACUAGUGGCUUCUCUCAAGAGCAUAAGUAUUACGGUGGGUAAACGAAUUACUGUCGAGCAAUUGAUAGAAUUGAGCAUAGUUAUGAGAAUAUCUAGGUAUGAUCAUGUAUAUAGGCAUCACGUCCGUGACAAGUAGACCGAAACGAUUCUGCAUCUACUACUAUUACCCCACACAUCGACCGCUAUCCAGCAUGCAUCUAGAGUAUUAAGUUCAUAAGAACAAAGUAACACCUUAAGCAAGAUGACAUGAUGUAGAGGGAUAAACUCAUGCAAUAUGAUAUAAACCCCAUCUUUUUAUCCUUGAUAGCAACAAUACAAUACGUUUCCCUUUCUGUCACUGGGAUCGAGCACCGCAAGAUUGAACCCAAAGCUAAGCACUUCUCCCAUUGCAAGAAAGAUCAAUCUAGUAGGCCAAACCAAACCGAUAAUUCGAAGAGACUUGCAAAUAUAAACAAAUCAUACAUAAAAGAAUUCAGAGGAGAAUCAAAUAUUGUUCAUAGAUAAACUUGAUCAUAAACCCACAAUUCAUCGGAUCUCGACAAACACACCGCAAAAUAAGGUUACAUCGAAUAGAUCUCCAAGAAGAUCGAGGAGAACUUUGUAUUGAGAUCCAAAGAGAGAGAAGAAGCCAUCUAGCUAAUAACUAUGGACCCGUAGGUCUGAAAUAAACUACUCGCGCAUCACCGGAGAGGCCAUGGAGUUUAUGUAGAGGGCCUCCGUGAUCAAUGCCCCCUCUGGCGGAGCUCCGGAAAAGGCCCCAAGAUGGGAUCUCUCGGGUACGUAAGGUUGCGGCGGUGGAAUUAGGUUUUCGUGGAGCUCCUGGAUGUUUGGGGGGUACAUGGAUAUAUAUAGGAGGAAGAAGUACGUCGGUGGAGCAACGAGGGGCCCACGAGGGUGGAGGGCGCGCCCAGGGGGGUAGGCACGCCCCCUGCCUCGUGCCCUCCUUGAUCGUUUCUUGAUGCACCCUCCAAGUCUCCAGGAUCACGUUUGUUGAGAAAAUCACGUUCCCGAAGGUUUCAUUCCGUUUGGAUUCCGUUUGAUAUUCCUUUUCUUCAAAACCCUAAAAUAGGCAAAAAAAAAUAGCAAUUUGGGUUGGGCCUCCGAUUAGUAGGUUAGUCCCAAAAAUGAUAUAAAAGUGUAAAAUAAAGCCCAUUAACAUCCAAAAUAUAUAAUAUAAUAGCAUGGAGCAAUCAAAAAUUAUAGAUACGUUGGAGACGUAUCAAGCAUCCCCAAGCUUAAUUACUGCUCGUCCUCGAGUAGGUAAAUGAUAAAAGAAGAAUUUUUGAUGUGGAAUGCUUUCUAACAUAUUUCUCAAUGUAAUUUUUCCUUAUUGUGGCAUGAAUGUUCAGAUCCGAAAGAUUCAAGAUAAAAUUUUAAUAUUGACAUAAAAAUAAUAAUACUUCAAGCAUACUAACUAAGCAAUUAUGUAUUCUCAAAAUAACAUGUCCAAAGAAAGUUAUCCCUACAAAAUCAUAUAGUCUGGCUAUGCUCUAUCUUCACCACACAAAAUAUCUAAAUCAUGCACAACCCCGAUGACAAGCCAAGCAAUCGUUUCAUACUUUUGAUGUUCUCAAACUUUUUAAUCUUCACGCAAUAUAUGAGCGUGAGCCAUGGAUAUAGCACUAUUUGUGGAAUAGAAUGGUGGUUGUGGAGAAGACAAAAAAGGAGAAAAUAGUCUCACAUCAACUAGGCAUAUCAACGGGCAAUGGAGAUGCCCAUCAAUAGAUAUAAAUGUGAGUGAGUAGGGAUUGCCAUGCAACGGAUGCAUUAGAGCUAUAAGUAUAUGAAAGCUCAACAAUAGAAACUAACUGGGUGUGCAUCCAACUCGCUUUCUCAUGAAGACCUAGGGCAUUUUGAGGAAGCCCGUCAUUGGAAUAUACAAGCCAAGUUCUAUAAUGAAAAAUUCCCACUAGUAUAUGAAAGUGAUAUCAUAGGAGACUCUCUAUUAUGAAGAUCAUGGUGCUACUUUGAAGCACAAGUGUGGAAAAAGGAUAUUAACAUUGUCCCUUCUCUCUUUUUCUCUUAUUCUUUUUUUAUUUGGGCCUUCUUUCUUUUUUCUUUUUGGCCUCUUUUUCGUCCGGAGUCUCAUCCCGACUUGUGGGGGAAUCAUAGUCUCCAUCAUCCUUUCCUCACUUGGGACAAUGCUCUAAUAAUGAUGAUCAUCACACUUUAAUUUCUUACAACUCAAUACUUAGAACCAAAUAUGACUCUAUCUGAAUGCCUCCGGCGGUUUAUCGGGAUGUGCAAUGAUGCAUGAGUGACAUGUAUGAAGAAUUAUGAACGGUGGCCUUGCCACAAAUACGAUGUCAACUACAUGAUCAUGCAAGCAAUAUGACAAUGAUGAAGCGUGUCAUAAUAACGGAAUGGUGGAAAGUUGCAUGGUAAUAUAUCUCGGAAUGGCUAUGGAAAUGCCAUAAUAGGUAGGUAUGGUGGCUGUUUUGAGAAAGGUAUAUGGUGGGUUUAAGGUACCGGCGAAAGUUGCGCGAUACUAGAGAGGCUAGCAAUGGUGAAAGGGUGAGAGUGCGUAUAAUCCAUGGACUCAACAUUAGUCAUAAAGAACUCACAUACUUAUUGCAAAAAUCUAUUAGUUAUCAAAACAAAGUAUUACGCGCAUGCUCCUAGGGGGUAGAUUGGUAGGAAAAGACCAUCGCUCGUCCCCGACCGCCACUCAUAAGGAAGACAAUCAAUAAAUAAAUCAUGCUCCGACUUCAUCACAUAACGGUUCACCAUACGUGCAUGCUACGGGAAUCACAAACUUCAACACAAGUAUUUCUCAAAUUCACAACUACCCGACUAGCAUGACUCUAAUAUCACCAUCUCCAUAUCUCAAAACAAUUAUCAAGUAUCAAACUUCUCAUAGUAUUCAAUGCACUUCUAUGAAAGUUUUUAUAUUAAAGCAAAUUUCCAUGUUGUUCUAAAGGACUCUCAAAAUAAUAUAAGUGAAGCAUGAGAGAUCAAUUAUUUCUAUAAAAUAAAACCACCAUCGUGCUCUAAAAGAUAUAAGUGAAGCAUUAGAGCAAAAACUAUAUAGCUCAAAAGAUAAAAGUGAAGCACAUAGAGUAUUCUAAUAUAUUUCAAAUCAUGUGAGUCUCUCUAAAAAGGUGUGUACAGAAAGUAUGAUUGUGGUAAACUAAAAAGCAAAGAUUCAAAUCAUACAAGACGCUCCAAGCAAAACACAUAUCAUGUGGUGAAUAAAAAUAUAGCUCCAAGUAAAGUUACCGAUAGACAAAGACGAAAGAGGGGAUGCCUUCCGGGGAAUCCCCAAGCUUAGGCUUCUUGGUGUCCUUGAGUUUUACCUUGGGGUGCCAUGGGCAUCCCCAAGCUUAGGCUCUUGCCACUCCUUGUUUCUUAAUCCAUCAAAUCUUUACCCAAAACAUGAAAACUUCACAACACAAAACUCAAAAUAGAAAAUCGCGUGAGCUCCAUUAGCGAAAGAAAACAAAAAACCACUUCAAGGUACUGUAAUGAACUCAUUAUUUACUUAUAUUGGUGUUAAAACUAAUGUAUUCCAACUUCUCUAUGGUUUUUAAACUCUUUUACUAGCCAUAGAUUCAUCAAAAUAAGCAAACAACACACGAAAACAGAAUCUGUCAAAAACAGAACAGUCUGUAGUAAUCUGUAGCUAACGCAACUUAUGGAACCCCAAAAAUUCUAAAAUAAAUUGCUGGAUGUGAGGAAGUUAUCUAUUAAUCAUCUGAAAAAAUAAUUAACUAAAUAGAACUCUCCAAAUAAAAAUGGCAUCAAUUCCCGUGAGCGCUAAAGUUUCUGUUUUUUACAGCAAGAUCAAAAAGACUUCCCCAAGUCUUCCCAACGAUUCUACUUGGCACAAACACUAACUAAACACAAAAAACACAACCAAAACAGAGGCUAGAUAAAUUAUUUAUUACUAAACAGGAGAAAAAAGCAAGAAAUAAAAAUAAAAUUGGGUUGCCUCCCAACAAGCGCUAUCGUUUAACGCCCCUAGCUAGGCAUAAAAGCAAGGAUAGAUCUAGGUAUUGCCAUCUUUGGUAUUAGGAAAGAAAACAGAAAAAUUCUUUUCUAUAGCAUUUAUCUUUCUAUUUUGAGAUAGCACAUGGCCAUUAAUGGUGGAAGAAAGAUUAAGCACGUUACGGAAAUUGGCAUCUAAGCUAGCCUUCAUUUCUUUGAUAAUUUCAUUUUGAUAAAAGCACAAAAAAGAGGUAGAUUCAACCUUCUCAUACAUGGGGUGCCCAAAUAUAGUUUUCAUCUUUUCAUAGGUAUCGAUGGGAUCCCCCUCAAGAAAACCCUCUUCAAAAAUAGAAUCUAGAACUUGCUUGAACGAGGAGGGUAGACCAAUAUAAAAGCUUUUCAGGUAAACCUCAAUUUGAUAUUGUGGCACAUAGCUAGCUCGGAUCCUUAAUAGCCUAUCCCAAGCAUCUUUCAAAGAUUCAUCAAGUAAAUAAUGAAAAGUUCCGGGAUCAUCUUCAUCAAAAUUAUUCGAAUUCUCAUUGAUAACCCCGGUAGGUCUUUCCAUAGCAUCAUUAUUUAUGAGCUUAGAGAGGACAGAAGGACUAUCCAAGGUAAAACCCGAGAGAGAACCCUUAGCCCUUUUUGAAUCGGCCAUGGUACAAGAAAACAAAUGGGAAAGGAGACGAAUAAAAUGGCAAGGGUGAAGUGGGGAAGAGGAAAAUGAGAGUCAAAUGACAAAUAAUGUAAUGCGAAGGAUAAGAGUUUGUGAUGGGUACUUGAUAUGUCUUGACUUGUGCGUAGAUUCCGGCAACGGUGCCAGGAAUGACUCGUUGUCAGGAGUCGAAUCUUGACUUAACUUGGCGCGAAUCUCCCUAGCAACGGUGCCCGAAAUCCUUCUUGCUACCUCUUGAGCAUUGCGUUGGUUUUCCCUUGAAGAGGAAAGGGUGAUGCAGCAAAGUAGCGUAAGUAUUCCCCUCAGUUUUUGAGAACCAAGGUAUCAAUCCAGUAGGAGAUCACGCUCGAGUCCCACGCACCUACACAAACAAAUAAGAACCUCGCAACCAACGCGAUAAAGGGGUUGUCAAUCCCUUCACGGUCACUUACGAGAGUGAGAUAUGAUAGAUAUGAUAAGAUAAUAUUUUUGGUAUUUUUAUGAUAAAGAUGCAAAGUAAAAUAAACGGCAAAAGAAAUAACUAAGUGUUGGAAGAUUAAUAUGAUGGAAGAUAGACCCGGGGGCCAUAGGUUUCACUAGUGGCUUAUCUCAAGAGCAUAAGUAUUAUGGUGGGUAAACGAAUUACUGUCGAGCAAUUGAUAGAAUUGAGCAUAGUUAUGAGAAUAUCUAGGUAUGAUCAUGUAUAUAGGCUUCACGUCCGCGACAAGUAGACCAAAAUGAUUCUGCAUCUACUACUAUUACUCCACACAUCGACCGCUAUCCAGCAUGCAUCUAGAGUAUUAAGUUCAUAAGAACAGAGUAACACCUUAAGCAAGAUGACAUGAUGUAGAGGGAUAAACUCAUGCAAUAUGAUAUAAACCCCAUCUUUUUAUCCUCGAUGGCAACAAUACAAUACGUGUCGGUUCCCUUUCUGUCACUGGGAUCGAGCACCGCAAGAUUGAACCCAAAGCUAAGCACUUCUCCCAUUGCAAGAAAGAUCAAUCUAGUAGGCCAAACCAAACUGAUAAUUCGAAGAGACUUGCAAAGAUAAACCAAUCAUACAUAAAAGAAUUCAGAGGAGAAUCAAAUAUUGUUCAUAGAUAAACUUGAUCAUAAACCCACAAUUCAUCGGAUCUCGACAAACACACCGCAAAAGAAGAUUACAUCGAAUAGAUCUCCAAGAAGAUGGAGGAGAACUUUGUAUUGAGAUCCAAAGAGAGAUAAGAAGCCAUCUAGCUAAUAACUAUGGACCCGUAGGUCUGAAAUAAACUACUCACACAUCACCGGAGAGGCCAUGGAGUUGAUGUAGAGGCCCACCGUGAUCAAUGCCCCCUCCGGCGGAGCUCCGGAAAAGGCCCCAAGAUGGGAUCUCUCGGGUACAGAAAGUUGCGGCGGUGGAAUUAGGUUUUCGUGGUGCUCCUGGAUGUUUGGGGGGUACAUGGAUAUAUAUAGGAGGAAGAAGUACGACGGUGGAGCAACGAGGGGCCCAUGAGGGUGGAGGGCGCGCCCCCUUGCCUCAUGCCCUCCUCGAUCGUUUCUUGACGCACACUCCAAGUCUCCUGGAUCAGGUUUGUUGAGAAAAUCACGUUCCCGAAGGUUUCAUUCCGUUUGGACUCCGUUUGGACUCCGUUUGAUAUUCCUUUUCUUCGAAACCCUAAAAUAGGAAAAAAGAACAACAAUUUGGGCUGGGCCUCCGGUUAGUAGGUUAGUCCCCAAAAUGAUAUAAAAGUGCAUUAACAUCCAAAAUAGAUAAUAUAAUAGCAUGGAGCAAUCAAAAAUUAUAGAUACGUUGGAGACGUAUCACCAAGAUCCCCCACCGGAAGCAAACACGUGCAAGAGAUCAAUGCUUGGUUUUAGGUACCCAUUUUGUAAUGGGUCCUUUGAUGUUAGUAACAAGGGUCUUAGGAACCCAAAUAGACCAUUCAAUGUACUCAUAAGGAGAACCAACAAAUUUAGCAUAAACAUGCCCAUCACUAGCACGACACAACACAUAAGAAGGGUUAAAGUCGCCGGAUUUGUUGGAAGGGGUGGCAUUGCCCUUAUUGACACCACCACCCUUCUCAUUGUUCUUCUUCUCCUUAGAAGCACCCUCUCCCUCCCUCACAAAAGUUUGCUUGAGAGGAGCAGGUCGUUUGGCCUUGUCAUUCUUCUCCUUGUUCUUGGGCUUGGAAGCAAACCCAAUUCCCUCCUUGCCCACAACUUCCUUUUGAUUGCUCAAAAGGUCGUUGAGGUUCUUCUCACCUUGUAUGCAAGACACAAGGCCUUUCUCAAGUUGCUCCUCCAACUUAGCAUUCUUCUCCACAAGAUGCACAUGCUCACAACAUGGGUUAGUAGCAUUUGCAUUAUCAAUUAAGACCAUAUGAGGAAAAGUGGCCUUUUCCUUAGUUAGCUUCACUUGGAGUUGAUCAUGAGACUCUUUGAGGCUAGCACGAGCACCCUUCAAGGGUUUGUGAGCCUUGUCGAGUAUAUCAAACUCCUCCUUGAUUCUAGCAAGAUCAAGCCCAAGUUUGGCCUUCUCAGAAUUGAGCACACGAGAUACAACAAGUGCAUGAUCAAGAUCUUUCUUUAAUUUAGCAUGAUCAUCGUUGUGUGACUCCUCAAGAGCCAAACGGUGACCACGCUCUUCCUCAAGAGCAUUAGAGAGAUCCGAUAUCUCAUCGGCAUAGUCACGACUAUGUCCCUCCAUCUUAGAGAUGGUGUCUUCGUGAGCCUCGAUCAUGUCAUUGGCUUCACCAAGUUGUUCCAAGAGAGCAAAAAAGUGCUUCUUAGACUUACCCUUGAGCUUACUCAUACAAGACUCAAAUUCAUUUUCUUCCUCAUUAGACCCCUCACUUUCAUCAAUGAAAAUCCGUCAAAGAGGGAUUAGUAGUGAUGGUAGUUUUGAUGUUGGGGGUUACCUUGUUGGUGGCUUUGGCCAUGAGGCACUUAGCGGUGAUGUUCUCGUUGGGUGAGUCGAAGAGCGACACCCGUGGAGUUGUUGCAAUGGCAACGGAGGCCAUGUCAACCGUCUCAUCGUCUUCAUCAUUGUCAUCAUCCUCAUUGUACUCUUCAUGUGCCACCAACCCCUUGGAAGGAGUCUUCUUGGUGAAGUUGCUCUUGUUGGGGAAGGACUUGGCCUUGUCUUUUCGGAUGAGCUUGCCACCAUUGUCUUCCCUCUUCUCAUAUGGGCACUUUGCAACAAAAUGGCUCACAUUGCCACAAUUAUAGAAAGUCCUCACACGUUGCUUUCCCUUCACGCCACUUGAGUUGUUCUUGUUGAAGUUGGGCCUUGUGUUCUUCUUGCUCCAAAAUUGCCUUGAAGCGAGAGGCAUGUGCUCAUGGUAAGCAUAUUUCGUAUCUUCGGGGUUGCUCUCCUCUUCUUCCUCUUUGUCCUCUUCUUCCACACUAGCCUUGGCCUUCAAGGCAAGGUUGGGCUUCUUUGCUCUUUGAGAAUGCAACACUGCAUUGUCGGUGGUCUUGUCCAAGAUCCUCAUAGCCACAAACUCAUCCAACACUUCACUUGAGGACAAGGUGUGGAAGUACGGCCUUUGAAGAAUAACGGAGGACAUGGCCUUGUGGUAAGGCAUCAUGGCCUUGAGGAACUUGCGCUUGAUCCAAUUUUCAUCUGUAUCCUUGCUCCCAUGAUCUCGGAGUGAGACCGCAAGAGUGGUUAAUCUCCGGUAAAUCUCAAGAGGCUCUUCAUCUUCAUUCAUUGCAAACUCAUCAGCUUCAUCUUGUACCACUUCAUAGUUGGAGCGUUGAAUGAUUGCGCUUCCUUUGUAAAGGGAAACAACAUGGUGCCAUGCUUCCUUGGCCACGGUGAAAGGUCAAAGAUGUGCAAUGUCUUCGGAAGGAAUUGCAUCUUGGAUGAUGAAGAGAGCAUUCUCGUUGAAUCGAUGAUCCGCGACUUCCCUAGGGGUGAAGUUGCUUGGGUCAUGCGGAUAGAAGCCUUGCUCAAUGAUUCUUCAAAGAUUAGUAUUGACAUGAUUUAAAUGACGUUUAAAGCGAUAGACCCAAGAGUCAAAAUCCUCAUUUUUCACAAUCUUAGGAGGAGAAACCACAUGAUUUAAAUGAGUGGAGGGAACCGGUCGUCCAUUUGUAAGAGGAGAUUCAACAUGGGAAAAGAUGUCGUUUCCACUUUUACCACUAGACAAAGGAACUUUUGUUGGGGAUCGUAGCAAUAAUUCAAAAUUUUCCUACGUGUCACCAAGAUCAAUCUAGGAGAUACUAGCAACGAGAGAGAGGGAGUGCAUCUUCAUACUCUUGAAGAUCGCUAAGUGGAAGCGUUGCAAGAACGCGGUUGGUGGAGUCGUACACGCAGCGAUUCAGAUCACGGUCGAUUCCGAUCUAAGCGCCGAACAACGGCGCCUCCGCGUUCAACACACGUACAGCCCGGUGACGUCUCCCACGCCUUGAUCCAACAAGGAGAGAGGGAGAGGUUGGGGAAGACUCCGUCCAGCAGUAGCACAACGGCGUGGUGAUGGUGGAGGAGCGCGGUACUCCAGCAGGGCUUCGCCAAGCACUACGAGAGACGAGGAGGGAGAGGGGUAGGGCUGCGCCAAGAGAGAGAUCAAAUCACCUGUGUUGGGCAGCCCCAUACCUCAAGUAUAUAUAGGGGAAGGGGAGGGGCUGCGCCCCCUCUAGGGUUCCCUCCCCAAGGGGGCAGCAGCCCUAGAUCCCAUCUAGGGUGGCGGCUAGAGGGGAGAGGGAGAGAGGGGGGCGCCCUAGGGUGGGCCUUAAGGCCCAUCUGGACCUAGGGUUUGCCCCCUCCCACUCUCCCUGCGCCUUGGGCCUUGGUGGGGGUGCACCAGCCUACCUGGGGCUGGUCCCCUCCCACACUUGGUCCACGCAGCCUUCUGGGGCUGGUGGCCCCACCUGGUGGACCCCCGGGACCCUCCCGGUGGUCCCGGUACGUUACUGAUAGCACCCGAAACUUUUCUGGUGACCAAAAUGGGACUUCCCAUAUAUAAAUCUUUACCUCUGGACCAUUCUGGAACUCCUCGUGAUGUCCGGGAUCUCAUCCGGGACUCCGAACAACAUUCGGUAACCACGUACAUACUUUCCCUAUAACCCUAGCGUCAUCGAACCUUAAGUGUGUAGACCCUACGGGUUCGGGAACCAUGUAGACAUGACCGAGACAACUCUCCGGCCAAUAACCAACAGCGGGAUCUGGAUACCCAUGUUGGCUCCCACAUGUUCCACGAUGAUCUCAUCGGAUGAACCACGAUGUCAAGGAUUCAAUCAACCCCGUAUACAAUUCCCUUUGUCUAUCGGUAUGAUACUUGCCCGAGAUUCAAUCAUCGAUAUCCUGAUACCUCAUUCAAUCUCGUUACCGGCAAGUCUCUUUACUCGUUCCAUAAUACAUCAUCCCGUGAUCAACUCCUUGGUCACAUUGUGCACAUUAUGAUGAUGUCCUACCCAGUGGGCCCAGAGAUACCUCUCCGUUACACGGAGUGACAAAUCCCAGUCUCGAUUCGGGUCAACCCAACAGACACUUUCAGAGAUACCCGCAGUGCACCUUUAUAGCCACCCAGUUACGUUGUGACUUUUGGUACACCCAAAGCAUUCCUACGGUAUCCGGGAGUUGCACAAUCUCAUGGUCUAAGGAAAUGAUACUUGACAUUAGAAAAGCUUUAGCAUACGAACUAUACGAUCUUGUGCUAGGCUUAGGAUUGGGUCUUGUCCAUCACAUCAUUCUCCUAAUGAUGUGAUCCCGUUAUCAACGACAUCCAAUGUCCAUGGUCAGGAAACCGUAACCAUCUAUUGAUCAACGAGCUAGUCAACUAGAGGUUACUAGGGACAUGGUGUUGUCUAUAUAUCCACACAUAUAUCUGAGUUUCCUAUCAAUACAAUUCUAGCAUGGAUAAUAAACGAUUAUCAUGAACAAGGAAAUAUAAUAAUAACUAAUUUAUUAUUGCCUCUAGGGCAUAUUUCCAAAAACUUUAUCACUAGAAGCUUUUCCCUUGUCGGAGUUAGCAUCCGUCACCUUGUUAGUGGGAUCGACCACUUCCAACGGUGCGGUGGACAAUUUAAGACCAUCAAGAAAGUUCUUAAGCAUGCCUUUGACCUUGGCCGUCAUGGAGGUUUUCAAUGUGUCCAAGGCCACAUUGAACUCCUCACGUGAGAUCGAGGUUCCCCCAUCGGCUGUGGACGAGGAUGGAAUCACAUAGGGGUGCUCCUCCUCACCGUCUACGGUGUCAACCAUACUCUUCGGACGACAAAGUCCUUAAUAAAGAGAUGAGGCUCUGUUACCAAUUGAAAGGAUCGAUAUAGUUGACUAGAGGGGGGGUGAAUAGGCAACUAACAAUUUUUAGCUUUUCUUUACCAAUUUAAACUUUGCAUCAAAGUAGGUUGUCUAGAUAUGCAACUAGGUGAGCAACCUAUAUGAUGCAACAACAAGCACACAAGCAAGCAAGGGAUGCAACACAAUAUAAUCUUGCACAAGUAAAGGUACGAGAUAACCAAGAGUGGAGCCGACGAAGACGAGGAUGUGUUACCAAAGUUCCUUCCCUUUGAGAGGAAGUGUGUCUCCGUUGGAGCGGUGUGGAGGCGCAAUGCUCCCCAAGAAGCCACUAGGGCCACCGUAUUCUCCUCACGCCCUCACACAAAGCGAGAUACCGUGAUUCCACUAUUGGUGCCCUUGGAGGCGGUGACCGGACCUUUACAAACAAGGUUGGGGCAAUCUCCACAACUUAAUUGGAGGCUCCCAACGACACCAUGAAGCUUCACCAUAAUGGAAAUUGGCUCCGCGGUGACCUCAACCGUCUAGGGUGCUCAAACACCCAAGAGUAACAAGAUCCACAAUGGAUUAGUGGGGGGAAUCAAAUUUCUCUUGGUGGAAGUGUAGAUCGGGGCUUUCUCAACCAAUCCCUAGAAAAUCAACAAGGUUGAUUGGCUAGGGAGAGAGAUCAGGCAAAAAUGGAGCUUAGAGCAACAAUGGAGCUUAGGGAUGGAAGAGGUAGUCAACUCGGAGAAGAAGACUCCCCUUAUAUAGUGAUAGGACAAAUCCAACCGUUAUCCACUUACCCAGCCUGUGACGCGCGAUAGUACCGCACCAGCCAUGCGGUACUACCACAAGGGCCUGCGAUACUACCACGGGGCACUGCGGUACUACCGCAUGCGCGGCAAGAGCCAGACCGACCCUGAUGCGUUGAAGCAAAGAGCGGUAGAACCGCCGGAGCGGUACUACCGCAAAGCAAGGUUUGUUUACGCUGGAAAGGCACGGACAUAUAAAAAUACAUCUGUGGCUACUUCCGCCGAGUUUCGAUCUGUGCAAAAAUCCGACACGGUACUGCCGCGAACCUGGAGCGGUACUACCGCGUAGGGCGCGGAUGUAAAGAAUUACAUCCGCCCCUACUUCUGCUCGUGCUGUUGUGCCUGGCCCGAGGCCACGGUACUACCGCGCCCUAGGAGUGGUACUACCGCAAUGGACUGCAAUACUACCGCGACCGUAGCCGGUAUUACCGUGAGCCUCUGCGGUACUACCGCUCCCAUGAGCAGUACUACCGCAUGCCCAGCACAACCAACACUAGGAGUCCUUCAUUUUGUAGAGACACGGAUAACUAGAGGAUGCUCCAAAGAGCCAACGGAAAUGUGGUGUAAAAGGAACAGACGUGUACAUGAUGAUUCUACCCAAACCUUUCCAAAGCGGACCCCCUCUUAAUAGUACGACUUUCCUACGACUCAAAUCCACCGAAAAGAAACGUAGGAAAAACUCCGUCUUCACUAGACUCCGAGAGGCAACGAAUCAUCUUGUGCCUGAACAUGAGAUAUCUAAAAUGCUCAAUGCACACGAUUAGUCUGCCAAAACAUUGCCGUCAAUCACCAAAACCACUAAGGGAUAAAUAUGCCCUUACAAUCUUUCCCUUUUUGGUGGAUUGAUGACAAUACGAGAUUUGCACAAAGGGAAAUAAAAUGAAGCAUAGGCAAACCCAACAUCUAUAAGAUAUAGAUGGGCUCCCCCUAGAUAUGUGUUCUCUAGAGAAGUGCUUUGGACUGCACGACACACAUACUAGGAUCAACACUCCCCCUAUAUUUUAUAGACGAGGCAUAUCUUGCAACAAAAUAACUAACACGAAGCAAGGAGGCAAGAUAACAAAUAUGAGCGUAAAGUAACGAGAGCACAAUCUACUAAUCAAACUAGAUAACAUGAUAAGACAAUAAGAUACGUUGAGAACAUAUGUCUUACACCAUAUGAUAGGAUCAACACCCCCCCUUGCGGUACUACCGCAAGGCAGGGUUUGUCUAGGCUGGGAAGGCACGGACAUAUAAAAAAACAUCCGUGGCUACUUCAACUGAGUUUCGAUCUAUGCAAAAAUCCGACACGGUAUUGCCACGAACCUGGAGCGGUACUACCGCGUAGGGCGCGGAUGUAAAAAAUUACAUCCGCCCCUACUUCCGCUCGUGCUGUUGUGCCUGGCCCGAGGCCAUGGUACUACCGCGCCCUGGGAGCGGUACUACCGUGAGCCUCUGCGUACUACCGCUCUCAUGAGCAGUACUACCGCAUACCCAACACAACCAACACUAGGAGUCCCUCAUUUUACAGAGACACAGAUAAACGGAGGAUGCUCCAAAGAGCCAACGGAAAGGUGGUGCAAAAGGAACAGACGUGUACGUAAUGAUUCCACCCAAACAUUUCCAAAGCGGACCCCUCUUAAUAGUACGACUUUCCUACGAUUCAAAUCCACCGAAAAGAAACGUAGGGAAAAGUCUGUCUUCACUAGACUCCAAGGGGCAACGAAUCGUCUUGUCCCUGAACAUGAGAUAUCAAAAAUGUUCAAUGCACACGAUUAGUCCGCAAAAGCAUUGUCGUCAAUCACCAAAACCACUAAGGGAUACAUAUGCCCUUACAACCGACGGGAGGCGGGAGAAACCCUAGCCAAAGGGUCCUCUUUCUUUCAUCCGUCCUCUUUUAAUUUGAUGGAUUUUUUCAUCUCACACAUGAUAAAUCACCGAUGUGAUAAGGAAACCAUCAUGCAAAAAUUUGAUUCGGUGUUAUAAUGAGAAUUAAAGUUAAUAUUUAUCUUGCCAGUGGGCAACAAAAAAAUUGGACAUACUUUGUAAAGAAAAAAAUACAAGCUUAAUAAUAGAAAAAAAUUAUAUUGAAAGUCCAUGCUUUGAAAAGAAAAUGUUUAGAGCACAUCUAGAUGUGUUUUAGUAUUGUACAUUUAAAUGACUCGAUCAAACAUAAAGAAGAAGGAAAAUACCGCCACGAAUCUUCACCUAAAAUCAAUGGCGUAGGACUUAUCUAGAUGUGCUUCAGUAAAACCAUAAAAAAAAUUCACAUUAAAAUGUAUAUAAUAGAAUAUAUGCGAGGAGAAUCUUAUUCCAUCUUCAGAGUGUCGUCACCAUCUCGCCACUCUGAGCAUGGCACAAACCCUAACAAAAAUAAAAAAAUCAUGAAAAAAACGAAGCCCUCCACCGGCAAGGCCAGGAUCCACCGCGUCUCCAUGACCCUAAGACCAUAGGAGACGAGAUAAGCGAUGGUGGCACCACCGGGAGGCGGGAGAAACCCUAGCUAGAGGGUCCUCUUUCUUCCAUCAAUCCUCUCUUAAUUCGAUGGAUUUUUUUCGUCUCACACAUGAUAAAUCACCCCGUGAUAAGGAAACCAUCUUGCAGAAAUUUGAUUCGACGUUAUAAUGAUAAUUAAAGUUAAUAUUUAUCCUGCCAGAGGGCAACAUAAAAAUUGGACAUACUUUGUAAAGAAAAAAAUACAUGCUUAAUAGAUAAAAAUUAUAGUGAAAGUCCCUGGUUUGAAAAGAAAAGGCAUGUUUAGGGCACAUUUAGAUGUGCCUUAGUAUUGUACAUUUAAACGACUCAAUCAAACAUAAAGAAGAACAAAAAAUACCCAGAUGAAUCUCCACCUAAAAUCAAUGACCUAUGACUUAUAUGUGCAAUGUAGGGCACAUCCAGAUGUGCUUUGCUUUAGCGAAACCAUAAAAAAAUCACAUUAAAAUGUAUAGUAGAAAAUAUUAAAAAGUUAGUGCACAGAUUACUUCUUGCUCCCCCACAAAUGUUCUUGGGUAACAGGCCCCCGAGCCACAAGGCCCAGCAAGAUCUGUGACUAACUUUUGCUCCCCCACAAAUGAGCUUGGGUGACAGGCUAACGCGACAAAGCCCAGCCACAGUGUUGCAAGAGCUGUCCUUUUAUUCCCGUGUAUGCGAACUAAAUAAGGCGAGGUGGGACUAAAAGUUGUGUCUGCCAACAAAUUCAAGGUACUAACGGGCUAAACAAACAACAGCUUCUCCAAACUGAAAGCCCAAGUAAAGAAUCUCGCGGCGUGACGGCCCAACGACGACGACGCGGUAAAACGGGGAGGCAAACGCCAAGAGAAGGCUUCCUCCCAAAGCCUUCCAAGCCAGACACACGGCCGCCGCAGCCGAGAUGGCCGCCGGAGAUGCCACCCACGCGCCGCCGGCCGCGGAGGCGCAGUCUCUGGUGGAUUCGUUCUGCGCAGUCACCUCGGCGACCCCCGACGAGGCGACCUUCUUCCUCGAGGGCCACAACUGGGCCCUCGAGGCCGCCGUCCGCUCCUUCUACGACAACACGGAAGUCGACGCCGAUGGCCCCGAUCCGGCACCCCAGCCCCCGCCAGCCGGUUCGCCUCCGUGCUCCUCACCACGCGCCACGGCACCAUCGACGACCUCCUUCACACCGGCGAGCUCGCGGUAAGCCUCGAUUGCCUGAUUUCUCCACUCUCUUAGGCUCGUUUCUUACUGUGAUGUUUGUGUUCAGUUAGGCAAAAUUGGGGAUCGCAAUCAACUUGACACUAUCUUAUCUCAGCUCAAUUUAGUCCGGACCAAUAACUUUUUAUGUUAAAAAAAUUAAGCAAGUUGGAACUGCGUAGAAUCGAUCAACCUGAUCUAUACUGGAUUUAAGUGCUGAAUUUUACUGGAUUCAGUUGCCUUCAUAGUUACACUUUGACUUCUCGGAAAAGAAAAAAAACACUUGCUCGGUGGUUUCUUGACAGGGUCCGUUGGCCUAGAUGAGAUUAUCUAGAAAUCCAAUAAUUGGGCUGGCUGACAUCUAUAAUUAAGUGAUCUCGAGUAGUAUCAUGUGAGAAACAGCAAAGCUAGUUAGGUGUGACGUGAUUCACUCUGCUGGGUGCUGGCGAUCAAUCUGUCGCUGGGCCUGAAAAUGGGACUUCAUUGCUAAUUGGGGCGCCAUCGUUGUAAAGGUACAAGUAGGGCCAUGAAUCAGUGAUAGUGCCUUAUUGAGAUCACAAACCAAAGGGGGUUGGAACAGUGUAUAUAAGGUGUAGAGCUCCUGUAGUUUUCAGAUUUUGUCAUAAUCGCAAACAGUGACCUCUAUACUGUAUUAACAAAUAUAACAUGAUUACAAUUCAAAAAAAAAUCUAAUAUGGUUAGAAGUUCUGGUUUCAGGGGCACUUCAGCUAUUUUGGAAGCACCACAGUAUUUAGGCCAACAUAAGCUGAUAUUCAGAAGAAUCACACUUUAUCUGAGAUUAUCUAGAAAUCCAAUAAUUGGGCUGGCUGACAUCUUUAAUUAAGUGAUCUGGAGUAGCAUCAUGUGAGAAACAGCAAAGCUAGCAAGGUGUGACGUGAUUCACUCUGCUGGCCACUGAUCUGUCGAUGGGCCUGAAAAUGGCACUUCAUUCAUUUCUGAAUGCUAAUUUGUGCGGCAUCUUUCAAAGGUGUGAGUAGGGCCAUGAAUCAGUGAUCUUAUUGGAAUCUCAAACCGAAGGGGGUUGGAACUGUGUAUAGGAGGUGCAGAGGUCCUUUAGUUUCAGAUCUUUUCAUAGUCGCAAACAGCGACCUAUGUGACAUUAACAAAUCUAGCAGAUCAUUACAAGUUCUAGUUUCAGUGUUACUUGCUUCGGCUAUUUGGCAGCACUACUGUAUAGGAUAAGAUGCUACUUAGGAGCAGCUAAACUCAAAACAGAUAUAUGUGGUAAACUUACGGCAUUUUGAACUGAAAAACGGUGAAAGAAUUAAGAAUUUUCGGACACAUGUUACUUACAUUGUCUCAGCUCUGCAUACUUGGCAACAUUUCCAAAUACUGGUCCUAAUGUAUCUUCAUGUUUAAUUCUGCAGCUAUGUUCAGUGGUGCUAAUGUCCGGGCUCAUCAUAAUCCUGAGCAGCGCCGCCAAGAUCACUCACCAGGUGCAGGCCCUCAUGGGCCAGACCACCAAGUGGCACGCCUGCUGCACCAUCGAGCCGGUCCCGGACGACGAGAUAGAUCCGGGAUCCAACCAGAACUCCAUGCUGGAGGAGUACCCCGAGCCCGAGGACGAGAGCGACUGUGAGUCCAGCGAGGAGACCGGCGACGAGGACAUGGUGGAGAACACCAAGUUCCUCCAGCCUCACAUGCACGUGAUCUCCUUCCAGAAGAGGCAGGCACUAGGUACGUAUGAUCAUCGACAGUUAUCAUACAUUUCGUCGAAUCUUGGGGCUGAUGGAAAACGCUGUUGCAGUGACCUUCCUGGAGAACAACAACGCCGGCAUCACCGUCUUCGGGUUCACGCUGGACCGGUCGUACCUCCACACGAUAUUCAUGCUCGAGUGGACGUUCUUCCUGUGGCUGCUGGGGAAAACAGUCGGCUUCUCGUGAAGACGAGGGACUGUAUGCACCAAGGUUCUAUUCUGUUCCAUGUUUUUUUGCUGUUGUGCUCCGUUUGAUCCUUGUGUGAAAAGAGAAGGAGCAGGGUUUUUUGUGUGCGCGUGCGGGUGGCACGUGAGUGGUGUGCACUUGUUCGUGUGUGUAUGCUAGCAGCGAUUUGGUAUGCUGAUGAUCCUGUAAAUUAUCAUGGGUUGAUUGCAUGUGGAUGUAAGGUCUAUGUACAGUGAUUAGAGCAUCUCGAUCUAGCAGACCUCGUAAAAGGGCCGAACCCGUAUAAUUCCGGCGAGUAUACGGGUUCGGCCUGUUUUUCUGGCCAGAGUAGACACCGUAUCCGCGGCCCGGCCCUAAAAAAUUUACUGUGGCCCGCAAAAAGUCUCUCCCCACCACUAUAUAUGCCCCANNNNNNNNNNNNNNNNNNNNNNNNNNNNNNNNNNNNNNNNNNNNNNNNNNNNNNNNNNNNNNNNNNNNNNNNNNNNNNNNNNNNNNNNNNNNNNNNNNNNNNNNNNNNNNNNNNNNNNNNNNNNNNNNNNNNNNNNNNNNNNNNNNNNNNNNNNNNNNNNNNNNNNNNNNNNNNNNNNNNNNNNNNNNNNNNNNNNNNNNNNNNNNNNNNNNNNNNNNNNNNNNNNNNNNNNNNNNNNNNNNNNNNNNNNNNNNNNNNNNNNNNNNNNNNNNNNNNNNNNNNNNNNNNNNNNNNNNNNNNNNNNNNNNNNNNNNNNNNNNNNNNNNNNNNNNNNNNNNNNNNNNNNNNNNNNNNNNNNNNNNNNNNNNNNNNNNNNNNNNNNNNNNNNNNNNNNNNNNNNNNNNNNNNNNNNNNNNNNNNNNNNNNNNNNNNNNNNNNNNNNNNNNNNNNNNNNNNNNNNNNNNNNNNNNNNNNNNNNNNNNNNNNNNNNNNNNNNNNNNNNNNNNNNNNNNNNNNNNNNNNNNNNNNNNNNNNNNNNNNNNNNNNNNNNNNNNNNNNNNNNNNNNNNNNNNNNNNNNNNNNNNNNNNNNNNNNNNNNNNNNNNNNNNNNNNNNNNNNNNNNNNNNNNNNNNNNNNNNNNNNNNNNNNNNNNNNNNNNNNNNNNNNNNNNNNNNNNNNNNNNNNNNNNNNNNNNNNNNNNNNNNNNNNNNNNNNNNNNNNNNNNNNNNNNNNNNNNNNNNNNNNNNNNNNNNNNNNNNNNNNNNNNNNNNNNNNNNNNNNNNNNNGGGAGCUCUGGGGAUGACGCAGAGCGUCGCGCCAGAUCCGACGCCGCACGCAAGCGGGGCGCACGGAGGUGGCUCAACCGCGGUAGCCGGUCGCCGCCAACGUUUGAACGCCGCGAGCUGGUCGAGUUCGAGCGCAAGCUUGCCCGCCGCCACCACGCCUCAUUCGGCUCCUCUGCCGCAGAGAGCUUGUCCGCGGGCGCCUCGAGCUCGUGGCUCAGUCCGAUGAAGAGAGAGCCGGAGGAACUCGGGCCGCUCGCCGUCAAGCUCGAGGCCGAGGCGCCGCCGCGUCGAGGAGUGAUUGACCCCAAGGACUACCUCCCCCCGGGGCAGGAGGAGCACCUAGAGCGUGUCGUCAUGGAGCGGUCGGCGAGGGAGCGGGAGGAGGGCGAAGUGCGCCGCCGACGCGAGCUCGAGUACGAGCAGAUGUUCCCCAGACGGGUGUUGCGGCGUUGCAGGUCCGCCUCCAUGAAGGUGGAGCAAGCCAAGUUCUUCAUCGACCUCGACCCCUCCGACGAGGACUUAGCUCCUCCGGCUCCUCCGCCGUGCCGUCGCUGCCGCGAGCUCAUCGAUUUUUGGUAUCUAGGCUCGGGCCCACAGAUUCCCCCACUAGUAUGAUCAAUGUAGAUGAACUAAUGUAUGAUCAAUGUCGUUGCAAGUUUCUCUGGCGAAUGCUUUUCUUAAAAUUUUACAGUUUCAUAUACGAGGUCUGAUCUGCAGCGCACGAAUUCAAUCCGCAAAUCUCAUCUGUCUGUAAACACAAUUUGCGGGUCGGCAUUAUACGAGGUCUGCUAGAGAUGCUCUUAGAUGGGUUGUCAGGACCCCGACUCAAUGCCACAUAGAUCUAGCAUGUAACCCUUCAUAUCACUUUGCGGCCUCACGCACGGUAUUCCCACGGGUGUCGCCUUACCUUUACCCGGGACCGUUUGCGCCUUUUGGCACACAUAUAUGACAGUGUCGCUAGCAUCCAUAUGAUAAGGAGCCCGGGCUGACAUGGCUAGUCGUAAACCUAAAGUGGCACAGACUUACAGGGACAGGCAUCCAUGACCCAGCAUCGAACGUGUCGGUCAUCAACGAGUGAAUCCAGGUUGUAGCACUGGGCUAGCAGGACUCCGGUGAACCGGGCUGUAGCGGGCUAACAGGACUCCGGUAUUCAUCGCGUGACAUUUCCCCGAAGGGACAGACACAGGAACGAAGAAGGACACAUGCCAGCCAGCCUAAGUGUUCCGGAGCAGUAGCAAGCUACCAUGGCUCGGUGGAAACACUAGGAGACAUUUCCCGAUAAGAGAGGCUACUAAAGAUAAACAACUAGAUAGUCAGAUCCCACACAUACCAAGCAUUUCAAUAACAUACACACAAUAUGCUCGAUAUGUGCAACCACAACAUGGCAUCACAACAUGACUCUACGACUCAAGUACUUUAUUCAAUAGGCUCCGAGGAGCGAGAUAUUACAAACAGGGGUCUCAUGACCCAACAAUCAGAGCAUACAAAUCAAAGCACAAGCGGAAGCUAUCAUGUCUGGGUACAGACAUCUAUAACUGAAAAAGGCUGAGAAGCCUGACUAUCUACCAGAUCCUGCCGGGGCACAAGAUCGUAGCUGAGGUAACAAGCUAAAGGUCGAAGUCCACGUGGAACUACUAGUGAGACUGAAGUCUCUCUGCAAAAACAUAAAUUAAGCAACGUGAGUACAAAUGUACCCAGCAAGACUUACAUCAGAUCUAUCUACAUAUGCAUCAUUAUCAACAAAGGGGGUGGUGGGGUUUAACUGCAGCAAGCCAGCUUUGACUCGGUGGCUAUCCUAAACUACGACUGCAAGCGACUCUUUUGAGGUGGCGCACACGAGUCCACAUAUUCACCAUAUCAAUACACCACUAUGGAUCCGCUCCCGUCUCCCUGCGAGAAGGCCAUCCAUAGCACUCACGCUUAUCUUGCGUAUUUUAGAGUAUCCACUUUCACUUGUCUAUGAACUGAUAUAAGCAACCCAGAAGUCCUUUUCCACGGACACGGCUAUUCGAAUAGAUCAUAUUAACCCUGCAGGGGUGUACUUCUUCACACACGCUCUCACCACUUACCGCCGUUUACACGACAUGUACUCGGCAACCUUCAAGCGGAAGCCCAACGUGGGUGUCGGCCACGGCCUACCUAAACACUCAAGUCUCUAGUCCAGGUUUAUCGCCUAUUCGGGUUCCAUCCAUGAGGAGAUCCGGCCGGAGUUUCGCUCACAGCCCCAAACGAUGUGAACAGGGUUCCCGAGACACCAAACGGGCGCCCGGUACACCGUGCCACGUGCCUACCGCAUCACAGCCCACCCCUACGGUCAGCGCUGCCCACGGCCUCCAGCAUACUACAAACACCAGAAACUACUUGCAACUCCUGGACAGAGGACAAGGGUGGUCAAGAAGCCGAGAGGGUCCAUUGGUUUCGGGCCCAAUGCGUGGUAGUAGCUGAAUCAUGGAUCACAAACACAGAACUCAGUUCCUGAGGACGGCUGCAAUGAGACAACCCACCAUGUACUCCUACAUGGCCUCUCACCGCUACCUUUACCAAAUCGUCUUCACACACUUAGCUCACACACAGUAGGACAUGUUCACACGCCUCUGAUUCAUCCCCGAUGAAUCAGACCUGACUCAACUCUAAGCAGUAGCAGGCAUGACAAACAAACAUGAAGGAGUAGGCACAACAGGGCUCAAACAACUCCUACUCAUGCUAGUGGGUUUCAUCUAAUUACUGUGGAAUGACAGGUCAUGCAGAGGAUAAAGGGGUUCAGCUACCGCAGCAAGUAACAGAUGAAUCGAUGUUGUCCUAAUGCAGUAAAAGAGAGCAGGAGCGAGAGAGUGGGAUUUUAUCGGAAUGAACAAGGGGGUUUUGCUUGCCUGGCACUUCUGAAGAUAACAUUGAGUCUUCAUUAGUGUCAACGAUCACAUCAUCGGUAUCACGUCUAUCGAGAGGGGACAAAUACCGGCAACACAGAAGGGAACACAAUCAAUGCAAUGCACAAUAUGAUGCAUGAUCAUGACAUGGCAAAAUGAAUGCGUUUUGGGCUAAUGCAACUAGCAACAGAUUAAAUAAAGUUGGUUUGAAUAUAAUAUUCAAAUUCAAACUCCAUAUGUGAUUAUUCAAAUGCCAUUUAAUUGAUUUGUGCUAAACAGCAGCUAUAAGUUGUUCUAACAUGCAUGAAAAUGGUACAGAUGGAUUCCUUGAAUUUUUCUGAUAAUUUUUCAUAUAUAAUUUAUUUAAUUUGGAGUUACGGUUAAUUUUCUAUGAUUUAUUGAAGUUUUAGGCAUUUUCUGGAAUUUCCUGAAUAAUAUAAAAUAAACUAAAUUCCAGAAAAUGAAUAUUGCGUCAGCAUGACCUCAUAGUGACGUCAGCAGGUCAACGGGCGUCGUCCAGGUCAAACUGACCUGUGGGCCCUACGUGUCAGUGUCUGGACUAAUUAACCUAAUUAAAAUUAACCCUAACUAACUUAGUUAGCCGGGCGGGGCCCGCAUGUCAGUGAGUCAGUGGCUUAACUAAAUUCGUUAUUAAAUUAACCAAAAGUUAGCAGGGGACGGGCCCACACGUCGGUGACCCAGGGGGGUCAAAUCCCUGGUCAACCGGGCUAAUCCACCGGCGUCUAACCGCCGGCAACGACCAGACGCGGCGGUGGCUCGCCGGAAUGGCUGCUCCGGCGCCCAUUCGACGCGCGGAGGGGUUCUACAGGGAGCUCGAGCUCGUGCGCAUCCAAUGGAGCAAACCCGAGGAGCUGGGAUGGCCUGAGUCGACGGCGGCGAGCUCCAAGGCGACGGCCGGAGUUCGGGCACCUGCGGGUUUGGCGUUGUGGUGCUCGGGAGGGGAAGCUGGUUGGUGUGUUGGGCUCCUGGGGGCUUUAUGAGCACGGUGAAGCACUCCGUCGUGGUCAUGCGCGGCUAUGGCCACGGCUGCGCCAUGGCCGGCGGCGAGAAGCUCUCGGCCGCGACGGCAUCGGUGUUAGAGGAAGAGAUCGGGCCAGGGAAGAGGGGGAAACAGCACAGGAGCUCACAGCGGGUGCAGCGGUGGCCUCGGCGAGCUCGGGGAGGCACCGGAGCGAGCGAAGCAUCGAGGGGGAUCUCCGGCGGCCGAGGUCGGAAACGGCGGCACUGGCAAGGCUUCAGGGCGUCCGGCGUUGCGUAGCUCAGCGAGGAGGUCGAGGACGAUGCGUCAGAGCUUAUGGAACUGGCGGAGGGGCGAGGGAGGGCUGGUGGCUGCGGCUAUAGCGAACGGCGGCGACGGUCGCUCUCGGGUGCGUGCGAGAGAAAGAAUAGAGGAGGAGAUGGGGACGAGGGAGUGAGCGGGAGGGUUCCAGGGGUCGAGGCGGCGCCGAGGAGAAGGCGCGAGGCGUCAUGGUGGCCUCAGGCGAAGCAGACGAGCAGGGUGGUGGCGUGGCGAGCUCGGGCGCGUGCGCCGAGUCUCUCCUCUGCCUACUGGCGCGAGGAGGAAGGCGACAGGGAGGAGGAGGUGGGCUGGGCCGCACAGUGCUGGACCAGCACAGGAGCUGGGCCGGCUCUGGUGGGCUGCACGGGUAAGGCCAGAUAGGCUUUGCUCUUUUUAUUUCUUUUUCUUCUGUUUUGUUUUUAUUUAAUCUUUUGCCACUGUUUUGAAAUAAGACAAAUUCAAAGACAGUGACAAAAUUCCCCUGAACAUUUUAUUUAGCACAAUGGAAUUAUACCAAAGCACAUAAAAAUGUUUCAGUUAUUUGAACAUAUAUUCAGUAAUAUUUGGAUAUAAGUUCAAAUUCAAAAUAGUAUUGAUUUAAAUUCAAAGUCUCAAAAUAAAUCCUUUUAAAAUGUUCAAUAUUUUUGGUUUGGAUCAAAACCCUUGCCAAAAAUAUUAAACAUCUAAGAAGAACAUUUUGGAACAAUGAAUGAGAUUUUAGGGUUUUUGCCCUUCUUUUAUUUAGGGUUUUUGAGGCUUCUGAAUUCCUCAGUUCAAGUUUUAAAAAUUUACACAUGAUGCACAGAUGGAAGCAAGCACAGGACAGGCCAGAGCUAGGGAUGUGACAUGGGUGCUGUAGAGAUAGCCUCGUGCAUCGCAGGUUGGCAUUGCAGGUUUAUAAUCUCGGGUUGUAACUUGUAAGCCAGCAUCAGUUGUAGAGCAGGUGUGUCAAAAGAAAAACUCUUUCCUUUAUUUAUUUUUGAACCGAAAACCGUAGAACAAUUGUUCUAUGGUAUAUUUUCAUUAAAAUAAAAUAAAAGUAUGUUACGAGGGGAUCAAAAGAUCCCUAAAUACAAGGAAAACUUUGUCAAUUCCUGCUCUUGGAAGCAUUAGAGCUGAUUUAAAACAUGUUAUCUAGCCACUGUUUGAAGCUUUGAAAGUGCUUCGCCUUUAGCUUGUGCUGUAGGAGCUUCUGAUCUUGCUUGAGGUGAAAACGCCAAAAAUGUACCGUAUGUGGCAGACCUCUGAAAACUUUCCCAUUUCUCUUAUUCCAAGUAUUCCAGCAUCCAAGAAUAACUAUUUCUGUGGCAAAUUGUUGUGGAAGUUUUUCUAUCGCCAGUAGUGUUUCCUCGUAUAUUGAAGUACCUCUUGCCUUAUGGGAAUUAGAGUGUUCCAACAAUCCUGUGCAAAAUUACAGUCCCAAAGCAGGUGAAGGGUUGUCUCUUCAGCAUUCUGAUUGUAGUUUCGGCAGUGAGGAUUGUUCAGUUGCAUGCCUUUUCUCUGUAGGAGUGAUCUGGUGUUGAUUCUACUGUGGGCUACUAACCAGAAAAAUAUCUUAUGUCUGAGUCUGCUAGAGCUCUUUCAAGUCAACUUGAAGAUAGGGUGUACCUCCUCAUUACCCAUUAGGUGUUUGCACAUGUGCAUUGAAGAGUAUUUAUUUUGAAGGCCAUUGCAAGUCCAUUUAUCCUUCCCAUAUCUGUCCGGAGAGGGGAUAAUAUCCCCCAAGUUGAAUGAAUUGAUUGUAGGCUGUGUUGGAUAAAGGAGUGUGGAACUGUUCAAUCCAGCUUCCAGAGUCACAAAAUUCUUGGACAGACAAGGAGCCCCUAAUAGCAAAAGAGUGCAGCUCUCGGAAAUUUUGUUCCAAUAUAUCUCCUUCCUCUUUCCUUUAUUUUGGUUCUACCGGCCUUUUGUUAUCCUCAAGAAAAUGAUUUGUGCUCCAUAUAUCGAUAUGAAUCCUAUGGGAUAUGAUGGUAUUUCAUAUUCAGUACAAAUAUAAUAGUCGAAGCAUUGCAAUGCAGGUGAGGGUGGUACAUCUAAU
rnacentral:lncRNA from 1 species